CCCACUUGCUCUUUAUCACUUGCUCGAUAUCCGGAAAUCUCACCGGACGCGCCGCACUUUCACAGCCAGUCUCCGAUUUCUCAACGGUGGGUUUUAAUAUCUAGAUCUGAUCUCAAUUUCUCUUUUCAAGUCUGUUUGGAUGCCGAGAAAUGACGGAGAGAAAUAAUCAAAAGCUGAAAACCAUUUGAUUUAUCUUCCCGACUUGUGCAUCAUGCGUUAUUUGCUCAGCAACUGCGUAUUUCAUUUGCUCAGAAACUAGAUCUGUGACAACUGACAAUACACUGUUUUAAGCUAUUAAUUUGUGUAUCUUCGCUUCGUUUAGUGAUUUGAUUGUUCUUUACCGAUAUCAUCUUCUCUUAUUUGCCGAUAUCAAAUUUGUUGCGAGUUUAAACUCCAAAUCGCAGUGUUAAAUAGAGUCUCAGAUCUGAUGUCUGUGUUGCAAAUUAAUUAAACUGGUUUACUAUUGCUUAGUUAUUUAUUAUGCGGCUCCCUUUAUUCUUUUUUUAUUUUCUGCAGAAAUAUAAUAUAAAAAAUGAGGGAAAUCCUUCACAUUCAAGGAGGACAAUGCGGGAACCAGAUCGGUUCCAAGUUCUGGGAGGUUGUUUGCGAUGAGCAUGGAAUUGAUCCCACUGGAAAAUACGUUGGAACCUCUGACCUUCAAUUGGAGCGUGUCAAUGUUUACUACAAUGAGGCUUCGUGUGGGAGAUUUGUCCCUCGUGCUGUGCUUAUGGAUCUUGAGCCUGGUACCAUGGACAGUUUGAGGACUGGUCCUUAUGGCCAGAUCUUCAGGCCUGAUAACUUUGUGUUUGGGCAGUCUGGUGCUGGAAAUAACUGGGCCAAAGGGCAUUACACUGAGGGUGCGGAGUUGAUUGAUUCAGUUCUUGAUGUUGUGAGGAAGGAAGCAGAAAAUUGUGAUUGUCUUCAAGGUAUAUAAUGUUCUAUCGCUAAUUAUUUUUCAUUUGUGAUUUUAUUUUAAAUUUUGAAGUAAUUAUUAAUGGGUUUUCUGUAUGUGCAGGUUUUCAAGUUUGCCACUCGCUCGGUGGAGGAACUGGAUCUGGAAUGGGGACUCUACUGAUUUCUAAGAUCAGAGAGGAAUACCCUGAUAGAAUGAUGCUUACUUUCUCUGUGUUCCCAUCACCUAAGGUUUCUGAUACUGUCGUGGAACCAUACAAUGCUACCCUUUCUGUUCAUCAGUUGGUUGAGAAUGCUGAUGAGUGUAUGGUGCUUGACAACGAGGCAUUGUAUGAUAUUUGUUUCAGGAUUCUCAAGUUGACUACUCCUAGCUGUAAGUGCAUUUUGGCUUGAAACUAGCUUUAUUUGUCUGUUGCCCAAAUUUAGUACCAUGCUUCUUUUUGGUGCAUAAUGCAUUCAGAUUUUGGUGAAGCAAUCUGUGAUUAAGCCAUAAUUUGUUUUCAUAAGCUCCCUCAUUUUGCUGGGCUGGUGGGUUUGGGUUUUUUCAUCUAUUGUCCGAAAUGUAUAAUCUUUAUCAUGGCUUGAAAUCAGAAUCGAGAUAGAGGUGCAUUUUUAACUACGUGCCCCUGUUCCUUGCUGCUAUACUUCUGUUCCACGCCGCGUGGUCAUGUUGUUUGUUUGUGUUCUCCACAUGCUAACAAGGUGCCUUGUUCAAAUAUUAGCUGCAUUGACGUUUUGAAGUGUUUUUAUUUUUUUUUGUAGUUUUACUCUUAUGUUGACAGUCACUUAAUUAUUUCAUUGUGAGUUGUUGCAAUCUGUAUCUUAAUCUCUGUCUGCCUGAGGAGCAAUGUGGGGUUGUCUCAAUGGAUCUUAAAUAUGUAUCUAGUAGGAUAUAGGUGAUUGCAUGGGUUGAUGAAACGUGGUUGUGCCAAAUGUUAGGUGGUUGAUUUUAUGACACUGUCAAUUUUAAAAUUUGAUUGAUGGUGUAGUGGGGUAAUUUUCAGGGAACAAAAGUUUUGGGUCCUGUCUAUUAUGAAGUUGGCCUGUUUAUUUUCAAAUUGCUUGGUUAUUUUUUGUGUUUUUCUGCUUCAAUUGAGAUUAAAAAAAUGCUGAAUCAACUUUGGAUUGUUAAUGAUUGUUGCAGUUGGCGACCUGAAUCAUCUGAUCUCUGCAACAAUGAGCGGUGUCACCUGCUGUCUCAGGUUCCCUGGUCAGCUCAACUCUGAUCUUAGGAAGCUUGCAGUGAACCUCAUCCCCUUCCCCCGUCUGCACUUUUUCAUGGUUGGAUUUGCUCCUCUGACCUCACGUGGUUCUCAGCAGUACAGGGCUCUGACUGUCCCAGAACUCACCCAGCAGAUGUGGGAUGCCAAGAACAUGAUGUGCGCUGCUGACCCACGCCAUGGUCGCUACCUGACUGCUUCUGCUAUGUUCAGGGGUAAGAUGAGCACUAAGGAAGUUGAUGAACAAAUGAUCAAUGUCCAGAACAAGAAUUCAUCCUACUUUGUUGAGUGGAUCCCCAACAAUGUGAAGUCUAGUGUGUGUGAUAUUCCUCCGAGAGGACUUGCUAUGGCAUCCACCUUCAUUGGAAACUCAACCUCCAUCCAGGAGAUGUUCAGGCGUGUAAGUGAGCAAUUCACAGCUAUGUUCAGGAGGAAGGCUUUCUUGCACUGGUACACCGGAGAAGGCAUGGAUGAAAUGGAAUUCACUGAAGCUGAGAGCAACAUGAAUGACCUCGUGUCUGAAUAUCAGCAGUACCAGGAUGCAACAGCUGAUGAAGAAGUUGAUUAUGAGGAUGAGGAGGAAGAAGAGGCUGAGAUGUGAUGAGGUGUAAACGGUCCUGCUACUGUUUUUUUUUUUGCAGUUUAUGCUGCGUUAAUUUGUACUCUUCAAAUUUGUCAUGUGUUGAAUUUUCUGUGUAGUGUGAAUGGUAGAGUUGGAAAAGUUGUUGCUUUUCCUUCUAGUUGUAGUAGUUAAAUAUAAUGUGGUUGAUAAGGGUUGCGUUACCAUCCAUGUUUGAAUUCUCUAGCAUUUUAUCAGCUAUAAUAAGCUUGGAUGAACAACAGAGAAUAAUAUCCAUUCAGGUAGCGCCAAACCAUACAAGUUCCACCAGCUUUUGGUCCUUGUGCUUCAACCAUUAUUGAAGGCUGGUGCCUUGUCAAGUCACAAGUGUGCCCACUAGACAAUAUUUUCUUUCCGGCUGCUUGCUUAAUUAUCGAUAGCCUAAUUCCUAACCACGUUUUGAAAUUUAAAUACACUCUAAUUCAUUUUUAUAAUGCAGGGAAGGAUGCAAAUAAAAAAGUAAUUUAUAAUUUCAAGUUUUUAUUUUUAUUUUUAUAUGAACCUUGUAGUACAUUAUCAAAAUAGUUAAGUGUUAUGGAACAUUUUUUUUAAAAGAUAAUUUUUUAUAAAAUAAUUAUUUUUCAUGUUCUUGAAUUGUUUUGGAAUACUAUGUUAAAAAUAAUUUUUAAAAAAUAAAAAAAGUAUUAUUUUAUUUUAAACGGUUACACCUUGCAAAUUAAUCUUAUAUUCUUGUUGCUAUUUUGAUUUGAUUAAAAUAGAUAUUAUUUACUGAAAAUGUCUAAAAACAAGGAAAACGAGAAAGCAAUUUGGGAACCACUAGUACUUUUAUCUGGAUCGCACUACAGAGAGUCUCCUUUUGGAUAAAUAAUCACUGUCAUAUUUAAGACCUAAACGUUGGUGGCAUGCUUGACUCUAAAUCUAAGCAAGAGAUCGGCUCUUAUUGAAUGGUCAAGAUUAAGUGGAGGGUGUAUUGAUUAUGUUUUAGGUACAGAGUUUGGACUCCUGUGGGUGUGAUUGUGAUGUUGAAUCAAAAUGAGAUAUACAGUUCAUCUGGGGACAUCUCUACCUCUUGUGGCCCUUCUAGCAGAGCUCUCUCCCACCUUUUCAUUUUUCCUUUUUUGCUAAUUGAAGGAAGUUGCACCAACCAAACUAGCAUCUCUCCUAUAAUCCCAUCAUUUAACUUCACAAUAAUACUUGACCCCCCCGUUCUUGAGAUUGAGGCUCAAAUAAAACUUGUAAAAAUUAAUUUUUUUUAUAUCAUUUUAAUAUGUUGAUAUUAAAAAUGAGAUUAAAAAAAAUAAAAAACCUAUCCCUUUUGUUCUGGAAUGACCAUUGAUGAGUGUUCAAGGUGAAAUGCCCAUCAAGCACCCAAGAGCCAACGAUCAUAUUAGUAACGUAUGAUUUGGGAUGAUAUUGUUUAGUUUAAAGCUUUAUGCUAUUCCUGGAAGGAAGGGAUGUGUUAAAAUGAUUUUAGCUGGGAAGGAAAACAUGGAGAAAGAUUCAUUUUCUUUUAUGCUAUCCUCCUGCUCUUAUCUUCUCGGCUUCUCAAAUUAAGAAUAAAACAAUCUUGAAAAAUAUAAUUCAAUUAAUCAAGUUCUGAAUUUACUCUCUAGAAAUCACCAAUUCGAAUCCCACAAACAUCAGGACCACUGGAAGCUUACAUGAUCGUUAACUUCAGGAUCCAUGAGAUUAGUCGAGGUGUGCGCAAGCUGGCCCAAGCAUCUAUGUUAAUCUAAAAAAAAUAGAGAAUUAGACACUUAAUUGCAAUCGUCUAUAAAGAUAGGAUACCAGCUUGUAAUUUCCCCUAAAAAAACUUAGGACAAGACAUGUCGAGACAGAGACAAUUAAGUCGUUUUAAUAAAGGUCAUUAGUCUACAAAUCCCCUAUUUUAAAAAAUCAAAUAUCAUUGCCCAGUCAAAUCAAAACCACCGUCUACACCGUUGAAACAUCACGAUCCAACGUGCUAGAACAAAAUAGAUGGAAAUCACAACAGCCGUCCGAUCCACACACCUAUUUCCCCCCUCUAUAAAACCACUCAUUUACAAACCAAAUUAUCUCGUACUCUCACUCGUACUCUCACUCUUCCCCGAUCGAGCAUCUCUCAUAGCUCGAUCGCCGAAAACCUCACCGUUGACACUGCAUCAACAACGCCUGUUGCCGAUUUCUUAACGGUGAGUGUGUGAUUUCUAGACCUGAUCUCUCUUUUUUCGAGUCCGUUUGGAUGUUGAGAAAGCUGAGGAAACUGAGAGAAUUAGUGAAUAUUUUUGUUGUUUUUGUUUUGAGUGAAUGACUUUGUUUAUGCAGUCUUAUCGCACUUUGUUUUCUCUCUUCAGCCAAACAGGCUGGAUCUGUAACUAUACUGUCUGUUAAUCUUCUAUUUAAAGCUUUAUUUAUUGACUUAAUUGUUAUCUUAAUAUUUAUCAUAGGUUAAAAUAUAACUAUCUAGUGAAUUCGAACUAAAUCCUUGCAAAAGUAGAACUUCUUCUCUCUUUGUUGUAAAAUAAUUUUAAUUAGUUUUCCUCUUACCACUAAUUUCAAUCAUUUAUUCAUUUGCAGCGAAACAAAAAAUGAGAGAAAUCCUUCACGUUCAGGGAGGACAAUGUGGUAACCAAAUUGGAUCGAAGUUUUGGGAGGUGGUUUGCGAUGAGCAUGGAAUUGAUCCCACUGGAAAAUACGUUGGAACCUCUGACCUUCAAUUGGAGCGUGUCAAUGUUUACUACAAUGAGGCUUCGUGUGGGAGAUUUGUCCCUCGUGCUGUGCUUAUGGAUCUUGAGCCUGGUACCAUGGACAGUGUGAGGACCGGUCCCUAUGGCCAGAUCUUUAGGCCUGAUAACUUUGUGUUUGGGCAGUCUGGUGCUGGAAAUAAUUGGGCUAAGGGGCAUUACACUGAGGGUGCAGAGUUGAUUGAUUCGGUUCUUGAUGUUGUGAGGAAGGAGGCGGAGAAUUGUGAUUGUCUUCAAGGUAUAUGUUGUCAGAUGUUUGGCAAUUUGAUUUUUGUAUUGUUAGUUAUAUAUGUGGUUUUGUGUGUGUAGGUUUCCAAGUUUGCCACUCGCUCGGUGGAGGAACUGGUUCCGGGAUGGGGACUCUGCUGAUUUCUAAGAUCAGAGAGGAGUACCCUGAUAGAAUGAUGCUUACGUUCUCUGUGUUCCCAUCCCCCAAGGUUUCAGAUACUGUUGUUGAGCCUUACAAUGCUACCCUUUCAGUUCAUCAGUUAGUUGAGAAUGCUGAUGAAUGUAUGGUGCUAGAUAACGAGGCCUUGUAUGAUAUCUGCUUCAGGACUCUCAAGUUAACAACUCCUAGCUGUAAGAGCACUCUGGCAUUUAUCUACGAUAUUUUUUAUUCCCUUUUGUCCGAUGAAAACAUUGUUUUGUGGUUUGCUGAUAACUUCUACUCAAAUUCAGUACCAUGCUUGUCGAGGAAACUUGCAUAUUUAGAUUGCUGUAAAGUAUCUAGUAAUUGAAUUUUUCAGGUCUGUUGGGGUGGGGUUUUAUUAUAUGAUUAUGAUUGUGAUUAUGUGAAAUGUAUAUGUUAUUGAAGGAAUGACAAAUAAGAAAGUGAAUAGAAGCUCCUGCUCUGAUUAUUUGUUUUCUGUUUUUCUUUGCUUACAUACCCUUGGUCCAGCAUGUCUUGAGGAAUGAGCAAUUUAUCAUUUUUUGUUGUUGCUUGGUUGUAUUCUAUACGUUUUGUCAACGUGCCUUGGUCAGGUGUCAGUUGUAUUUAUGUUUUGUAGCGGUUCAUUGCUUCCCUCAUUUAUGUUAGAUACUUAAUUUAUAUCUUUUGGCUGGCAAGCCCUAUCUUACAAUUCAUGUCUGCUUGAAUGAGUGAUGAGGGCUCCAUGUUGCUAGAUCUCACACGAUUCUUCUCAGAUGUCAAUCUCUAGCAGCUAGGUGUUUGUUUGGGUUGAUAAGCUGUGGAAAUACCAAAAGUUUGGCGGCAGCUUUUAUGAUAUUACUGAGUUUGGGAUAAUUUGAUUUAAGGCAAUAUGACACUGUGAUGUAACCAUGAAAAGAGAAGUUUUAGGUUUUGUAUGCAUGGAAAUUUGUUUGUGUGUUCCCCACUGGCUCUGUUUUUUUUCCCGAGGCAUAGAUCCGGGCUUUUGACAUGGGGAUUGUUUGUGUUUUUCCAUUGCUGGUCUUUGCAUCUUGUCUGCACCAUAACAAGGAUUUAAAUGCUGGAUUAAAAUUGAAUUAUUGUUUUUUGUGACAGUUGGCGACCUGAACCACCUGAUCUCUGCAACAAUGAGCGGUGUCACCUGCUGCCUCAGGUUCCCUGGUCAGCUCAACUCUGAUCUUAGGAAGCUUGCAGUGAACCUCAUCCCCUUCCCCCGUCUGCACUUUUUCAUGGUUGGAUUUGCUCCUCUGACCUCACGUGGUUCUCAGCAGUACAGGGCUCUGACUGUCCCAGAACUCACCCAGCAGAUGUGGGAUGCCAAGAACAUGAUGUGCGCUGCUGACCCACGCCAUGGUCGCUACCUGACUGCCUCCGCUAUGUUCCGGGGUAAGAUGAGCACUAAGGAAGUUGAUGAACAAAUGAUCAAUGUCCAGAACAAGAAUUCAUCCUACUUUGUUGAGUGGAUCCCCAACAAUGUGAAGUCUAGUGUGUGUGAUAUUCCUCCAAGAGGACUUGCUAUGGCAUCCACCUUCAUUGGAAACUCAACCUCCAUCCAGGAGAUGUUCAGGCGUGUAAGUGAGCAAUUCACAGCUAUGUUCAGGAGGAAGGCUUUCUUGCACUGGUACACCGGAGAAGGCAUGGAUGAAAUGGAAUUCACUGAAGCUGAGAGCAACAUGAAUGACCUCGUUUCUGAAUAUCAGCAGUACCAGGAUGCAACAGCUGAUGAAGAAGUUGAUUAUGAGGACGAGGAAGAAGAUGCUGCCGGGAUGUAAUUAUUUGUGCAAAGUCUAUCUGCUACUUGCUUUUACAGCGUAUUCUGCAUGAAUAUGUUUUACUGCUUUGAAAUGUGCGUGGUGAAUUUCACUGUCUGGGCGGUUUGAAUAGUAAUUAGAGUUGGGAAAUUUUUGUUCAGUAGCUAAAUAUUAAGCCAUGUGGCUGAUGUGAGAAGUUUUGUAUUGGUGUUCGUGUUUGAAUUAUAGCUCCAUUGCUAUUUCUACUCCUAUAAUCAAUCAUUUAAAUCUCGGUGUCCUUUGAUGUGAUUAUCACGCCAGUCAUUUUCAAGGAUUAUGUGUUGUGUUUGGGUUUUUUUUUACAAUUCCUUUUCCUUUUCUUCUUUCUGUCCCUUUAUCUUGCUUUACCUCUCAUUGUUAUGCAUAGCAGGGAACCAGGGGUGGCCAUUGAACAUGUUCAAUGCUAAACCCAGCAAAGAGUUCUGAAAAAUAAAACACCCUGAACUGAUGCCGAUCCACCGGUGACUGAUAAAUGAGGCAAGACUUGAAAAUUAGAUAAUACUGUCACAAUGGAGUUCUUUUGUUAAUUCGAGUCAUGAGCCAAAACGGAGAGUAGAAAGGCUUAGUGGCGGAAAGCCUUUAACAUCCAAUGCCACGCUCCUUAUUUUUUAAAAUAUUAAAACGAUAUAAAAAUAAAAAUAAAAUCAAGCUUUUUUUAUAUAAGAAAAAACACUUUCUAACAGCAAAAACAAGUAGAUAUUAAAGUCAUAUGAUGAGACAAUUAGAAAAGAAAGGAAACUGUAACUAGUCACGUUCAAUAUUGUUUGACGACAACUUUAGAAUAUUUAUAAUUCCCUUCUAUCUACAAUGGGGUUAAAGUUAACUCCACCCCCAGUUUCAAGAGAUAUCUGAGUUUUUUCACAAUAUAUUAAUUAAUGGGUUUUCACCAAUUCUUCAAUUAAAAAUUGAUGGAUUUUUUUUUUUAUAUAACCCGAGAUAUCCGGACCAGUUUACGUGUAUUAUAACUAAUUCCCAGACCCACUGAACAAUUGCAAGCCCAGUAAGUAGGUAAGGCAUUACAAGAAUGACAGACAUACACGCUGAGACUUGAAUCCAAGAUGCAAAGCCAAGAAAACCUAUCAAGAUUGCUGAGCCAGAAACCUCAAUGCAAAUGGAUGAAUUUUUUGUUUGAUAGGGUACUCGAUAAAAGUUAUUUCAAGCGAAUCUGUACGUCAAUUGAGAUCAAAUCUCUUUCUAGAUGAUUUUGUCAAUUGAGAUUAAGUCUCUUUCUAGAUUAUUUUAAUAAUGUAUCUUUAUAUUAAUCCACACAAAUUUUAAUCCUAAUAUUUUGAAUUUAAAAGAUUAAAAAAGAUAAUAAACUUUUUUAACUACCAGACCAACAUUAAAACAACUAAUAUCUACAUAAAGAAAAACCACCUUUUCGAAUCUAAGAAAGAGCGAAAAAGCACUUUCGGAGUACAUGAUUCUAGUAAGUAUUGAUAAUAUCAAUAAACUAACCAAAUAUAUAAUGUUUGCAUUAUUUUACUUGAUUUAAUUCGUUAAAAUUAGAUAAUAUAAAUAUUAAAUAUGAUAAUAAAUUAAAAAAAUUUAAAAAUAUAUAUCAUAUGGCGGGUUAGGAUUUUUAAAACUCGAUCAAUUUUAUCAAACCCGUAUACCCUAUGUUCCCUUUUGCGUUUAUAUCUAAUAAUUUAUAAAUUAAAUAUUUAUUUUUAUUUUAUUUUAAAAUAUUUCGGUUCAAAGUUUUGGUUAAUGAUUUUUUUUUAGAUUUAUUUAAUGUCACAAAAAAACUUCUCUAUUUAUUGGAGGUGAUGUGAGAGGUUACUAAAAAUUUAAUGGUAGUUUAGAGUAUAAAAUUAGAUCUAAUAUUAGGGUGUUAUGACACCUAUUGUCUAUAUUAUAAGUCCGUUUCUAAAUUCUAAGAGAAUUAAUAAUAUAAAUCUAAUACAUAAGUAUCUAUAAUAUUUAUAAAAAAUCAUCUUAACUUAAUAUAUUUAACAUGCUUGAGUUUAAAAAAUUAAAUAAAUUAGAUUUAUAAUUUAUAAAAUAUCAAAAAUUAAUAUUAAAUAGUAAAAACUAACCCAUCCAUAUAAACGAUCAGCCAUAAUGCAAUGGGAUGCUCCAAUGAUAAUCGAUGGAGUGUCUUCAUGGCAUCACCCCAUACAGGUAUUAGCCUAUCAGGCCUGGUUUUUAAACCCGGCCUGGCUUGGAGGGUCUACCCGGUGGCUGGACCGAUCCGGGUUUAAUAAAAGCCCGGUCGGGACAAUAACCCGAAAAAAUUCGGUCGACCCGAUAGGUCAACCCAUGACCCGGGCAAACCCGGACGAGACCCGUUUUUUUUUUAAAAUGUGAGAUUUGAAACCCAUUAGUAUAUAUACUCUAUGUUCUCAAGAAAAAAAAGUUAUAUUUUUUCAAUGUGGGAUAAAAAACUUUUUAGUUUAAAUAUUUCAACUUAAAGGGACAACAUAUUAUUUUUUGCAACGUGGGAUUUGAAGCCCUUUCGUAUAUAUACUUUAUGUUCUCACGAAAAAAAUUAUGUUUUUUCAAUGUGAAAUUUGAAACUCAUUAGUAUAUAUACUCUAUGUUCUCAAGAAAAAAAGUUUAUUUUUUCAAUGUGGGAUUUGAAACCCAUUAGUAUAUAUAUUCUAUGUUUCCAAGAAAAAAAUUAUGUUUUUUCAAUAUGAGAUAAAAAAACUUUUUGGUUUAAAUACUUCAACUUAAAAGGAUAACAUAAUAUCUUUUCAAUGUGAGGUUUAUAUUCACAAGAAAACAUUUAUGUUUUUUCAAUGUAGGAUUUGAAACCUAUUAGUAUAUAUACUCUAUGUUCCCAAGAAAAAAAUUAUUUUUCAAUGUGGGAUAAAAAACUUUUUGGUUUAAAUACUUCAACUUCAAAGCUUAACAUAAUAUCUUUUUAAUGUGGGAUAAAAAACUUUUUAAAAUAUUAUUUUAAACUUCAUUAUUUACAAUAUGUAUAGUUUAUGUUUACAUGAAUUUUUUCAUAUAAAAUAUUAAAAUUUUAAAUUUUUAUGAAUUAAUCCGGAUUGACCUGAAUUAACCCGAGUUGAUUUAUAAAACUCGUGACCCGACUUCUUAUCCGGGUCAGCCCCGGACCAGGUUUUAUAAAUAUGUUAUCAGGUGCAAAAGCAAUUAUCAUCCAGCUGUUACACAUUAAUUAUAUCAUAUUUAUAUAUCCCACCGGCGACCCAACACUUCAUAUCACCCUUCCACGUGUGUCAAUAAAGGUGAAAUAAAUAAAAGUAAAGGAGGCAACGCUGCUACUAACCAAACACUUCUCAUAUCCCUUUAACAAAAAUACUAAAACUCACAUGGUAUUUUUUUAUGAAAAUUAAAUGAGUAUACAAAUAAACAUGUAUUUGACAAAAAGAAAUCAUGUCUUCUUACACUCACAUUUAAAGAAACCUCACCGUAUUUGUGUAUAAACUAAUGUUAAUGUAUUUUUUUUAAAAUAUAAUAAUAACACAAGUCUACCUCUACUAGUGCUAAAAUGUUGUUCUAGCUACACGAAAGAGCCAACCUUGAGACUUCUUUUAUUGGCAAGUGUGUGUAUUCGGUUUAAUUUAUAUGUAUUUUAAUUAAUUUUUGAAAAUUUUAAAAUUAACAAUGAUUCUAAAAUUUAUAACACUUGAACUAAUAAUUUUUAAAAAAUAUAUCCAAAAUCUUAAAUUCAAGAACUAACCAAUUAAUUGACACCUCGUUUCCAACUCUUAAGUUUUUUUUCUAUUAAUAUGGGUGUCUGGGCUAGCUUGUGCGCCUCUUGACUGAUUUUACGGGUCCUGAAGUUAACGAUUAUGUAAGUCUUCAGUGACCAUUAUAUUAAUAACUAUAGGGCUCGAACCUGAAAACAUAGAAAGAUAAGCAUGCUCUUUAAUUCUAAAUUCUUACCACGGAUCACCUGAUAUAUGAUUCCAACACUUUAAGUUUUGAUCAGAUUAGUGGGCGGCGAUGUGUAAUAAUUGCUCUUCAGGUUGCCGGGUUUCAUAACAAACUUAGAGCUGCUUUUUUGUCCUUUAUUUUCUUCUCAAAGGAAGCAUUUCCAGCAGCAGCGUCUUUCCUUUCAAUGGAACUUCUUCCAAAUGUUUCAUCAAAUAACUAGUUACCAAUUAGUUAUCAUAAGCGUAUGGUUGUCAAUCUUUGUCAUGUUACAUGCAACAGGUUUGCCUUCAUACACCGCACAAAUGCCAAGAGUACUGUCGUGUUCAACUAAAGUAGAAGUGGAUAGAUGCCUUCAUGACCCUGUGUAUGAUCUGCGUAGUGAAAAUCACUUUCAAUCCCAUGAUAAAUGAUCAUGCCAUGCCCCACUCUGCUCAAGAUAAUCUCCAUCACAUAUUUAUCACAGAAAAAAAAACAAUGCAAAACGAAGAAGAAAGUAACCAAAAUAAUAUCUCAGUCUCAGAUUAAUUAGGGUUUUGAUCGACCCUUUCCUACAAAACAAGGCAGAAAACAGGGCCCAAAAAAAAAGAAAAUAAGGAAUUUAUUCUAAACCCAAUAUCCUCGGAUUUUCCUUUUCUUUUAUCAUGUUAGAGGAACAGGUAAGACCAUGUUAGUAAUUCAAAGGAAAAUAAGGGGUAGAAAUAUAUAAGGCCUUGGAGCAUAACACUUCCUUUAUUCCUCCAUAAGAGGUAAAGUCCACACAGUUCUCCACAUCCACCAAGUUUCACAGAACCCAAGAACAAUGGAACAGAUGACAGGCCUUCUAUUCCUCUCCUUCUCUAGCCUUAUUCUACUGUCUUUUUCAGGAUCUGUCGAUGCUUACAAGAACUACACAGUGGGUGACUCCUUGGGUUGGUAUGACACCACUGUUAAGUCCAAUGUCAAUUACCAAAAAUGGGCUGAUGGCAAGAACUUCAGCUUGGGAGAUUUCCUCAGUAAGUCCUUUAUCAACUAACAAUAUGUUUUGGAAUUUGAACAUACCAAAAAUUCCAUUUAUCUGUUCAUAGUUCGUCUCUUUCUGCUUUCUUCUUGUGGUUCGUGGUCAUGACUACUUUGAGUCUUUAGUCUUAAUCAUUGUUUUAUUUUGAGUUUCUACUUUAAGCGAUGCCAGAAUUCUGUGAACUUUGAGUAAAUUUACACCGAAGGAGGGAAGUACUCUCUCUAGCUAGUCUCAACCAGUAGAAAGAAAUCUAAUAAAUCUCGAAGCAUCUCCUUUUGUAUCUUCAUUUCUUCCUUUUGGCCUAAAUACAUGCUAUUUGUUUGGAUUCACAGUAAAAAUCAGGAUAUCAGAUUUGUUAACCAAAUGGAUGAAGCUAACCUUAACAGCAUUAACUCUUUCACAUGAAUCUGAGCCUUUGUGUCACCUUAGCUAAUGUUUUGGUGAGCCCCCAGCUUUCUUGUUUUUAAAUCGUUCUAUAAUAAAGUUAUGAACCCGUAAUUUAGUUGACAUAUAUAGGCUAGGAAAAGCAUUAAACAUGUUUAUUUAUUAAAAAUAAUUUUUUUAUUUUUUAAUAUUUUCAAAUGUAAAUGCAAUUGUCCCAUGAUUGUUAGAUGCUUUACCAAGAAAAGCAUAGAUCCUGCAUAGAUGUGAGUGGAAAAGCUAGGCUUAAAAAAAGAAGAAAAGGGCACAGACGAAAGUAUUUCUGAUAAAGGUACAUAUGGGUUUUCAAUGAUCCCAAACCUGUCACACUCACAUCACAUGUUGACAGAUAAAAUGUCUGUUUAUUUUUAUAUUUUAAAAAUACUUUUUUAAAAAUUAAUUUUAUUUUUAUUUUUUAUUUAAAUUAUUCCUAAUAUUAAAAAUAAUUUUUUUUUUAAAAAAAUAUUAUUUUAAUAUGUUUUAAAAUAAAAAAAUAUUUUAAAAUAAAAAAAUAUUUUAAAAAAUAAUUAAUAAUACACUUACAAGUAGUAAUCCUUGUUGCUGCUCUCUUGGAUCUCUCUUUGUUCUUUGAAUCAAGCAUGAAGCAAUGAUAUUGUAAGCGAAUCCUACUCUACUCUGUUAAAUCAAAAUUCAAUUGAGAGAAGAGACUGAUGGCAGUGUCUGCACAUGGUAAAUAAGUACUUGUUAGAUUUGAUUUUCGGAAGAAGAAAAUGGGGGAGCAGAUUAGGGUCAAACGGGACAAUUAGCGUACAAAAUAAAAAAAAAAUAGCAAAAAGUUACAGUGAAAUAAUAUAUUUUUAGAUACCUUAGGUAAGAAUCACGAUAAAAUUUUAUUAAUUAGAUUUAGGAUUAAUUAUUCGAUCAAAUCAUAAAAAAACCAUAAAAUUACUAAACUCUGGUUCUAAGAUGAGAUUUUUAAAAUUUAAAUAUCCAACAGUUAAAAUAACGAUUCCAUGACUAUUUAAGAAUGUGAUUAAAUAUUUAAAUAUGAUUUAACAGCCAGAUCUAAAAUUAUGGUCCUUUUGAACCAUCAUUCUGGUUUGACAUGAUUAUACCUCUUCUCGGGUCUAAACUGUUCCACUGGUCUAUAAAUAUUUCUGAUAGAUCAUCCACGUAAUCUGUUUAGGACAGAUCUUCAUCUAGUUGUUGUAAACUCAUACUUGACUGCUUUGAUCACCCGUUAUUGCAAACCCGACUACAUCAUUGACCUAAAAAACAGAAGACAAUUAUUGCGUAAAUAAUAUUUUUUUUAGAUUUUAAUUGGAGUUUGUUUCUUAGUAUAUAAGUUGGACAAAAAAAUAUAAUUUUUAAAAUAUCAUAAAAUUAUGAUUUUUGUUUGAAACAGUGAAGCACAUAUCACACUUAAAAAUAAUAAUAUUUAAUAAAUAUUACGACUCAACAUUACAAUAAAAUAAAAAUAUAUUAUUUUAAAAACACGAAAAUUUUAAUACAUUAUUUUGAAGCACAUAUCACACUUUGCUAAUUUUUCUUUUAAAAAAUCAGCAGAUGAGCUUCCGUGCAGGUGUCGUAAGGAUAUAUCGCUGACUGACAGGCUUAUCAGUUAUCCAGUUCCAUCAAGACAUCUGACACUCCUUUUUCUAUCUGGCAUAAUAUGAUUGGUUUUGUCGGCAAGAAGAAGAGAGAGAAUCUGCUAGGUUUUCUUGAAAUAACCGUUAGGAUAUUCUCAACUGCAACACCUUAAUUUUCAGUAAUGAACAGCAGUAAACAUGCUCUCCCCUCUCUCUCUCCCCCUCAAAAAAAAAAAAAAAGCCUUGAAACAUGGAACUCGUUGCCUGUCCUUGCUGAGAGGAAAAUGAUGUAAUCUGUUCCAUCUGGGUAGAAUCUAUUAGUCAAUUGUGAUUUGAAUGCUACAAGCAUGAAAGAUCUUUAGCAAUGCAGUAUGCUAUGGUUAUCAUUGAAUUGGCAUUAUUUUUUGUAAAAUUUAUUUAGAGUCACAGUGUUCAUGGGUGUUUUUCUUGUUAAUGCAGUUUUCAACACGGAUAAUAACCAUUCAGUAGUUCAAACAUACAAUUUCACCACAUACAAGCUGUGUGAUUAUGACAAUUCCGUAGACAAUGUCACCGUAGAAUGGUCAUCCGCCAAUCCAUCCAACACUCUCACGCAGGGAGUCACGGUGGCAGUUCCUCUGCUCAAGGAAGGACCAACCUAUUUCUUCUCUGGGGAUUAUGAUGGGGAGCAAUGUGAUAACGGUCAGCAUUUCAAACUAACCGUGUCUCAUGGAAAAGGGUUGCCGGACAGUCUGAAAGACCCAUCCGAUCAGGCCCCGGCCCCAAAUGCUGCCGAUUAUGACUCGACGCCAGAUACUACUGUGCCCUUUGACUUAAAUAAUCCUCAUGAUCAGGACACUGAUGUUAAGAAGGAUUCUGGAUCUAUUUCAUUAUAUGGGAAAUUCCUAGACAUGAAAUUGCAUGGGAUUUUGCUUUUGUUAGGGAUUGUUUACUUGUUUUGAUCAGUUUUUUUUUUUUUAUUAUCCUUUUUAAUUUCUUGGUUCAUAUUUUUAUACAUGACGGGUUUGUAUCUUCAGGAAGAAGGCUUUUCUUAUAUAACAGAGCAUUCAUAUGGUUAUGUAUAGUUUUAUUUGUCUAUAAAUGGUUGUUCUAGACAGACUGUAUGAGACAACAAUGCACUAAAACUUAUUACACAUGAACUGUUAAGGAGUCUUCUACAGAUAUUCAAGUCAACGAAUUGGCUGGGGAUUUCCAUCGUUGAGAUAUCACAGCUUUUGUUUAGUGAGAAACCAACAACAACAACCAAACAAAGAGGUAGGUUAAAUAUGGUGCCAACUAUCAUGACAAGCUAGCUAGCUUAUGAAACAAAUUUGCAAUCAUCUAUAAAUGUAGAGAAAAUUUACAUUAAAUAUGAUUGAUUUAACAAAAGAGACCGUGUAUUUCUUCUAUUAGGACCCAAGGCCACGAUCAAGUUACCAGGGCUGUGCAGUCAAGUGUUAUGAGUCACUUGCACCAAAUGAUAAAAAAAAAAAAAAUUGUGAAUCACUUGCAGGCACCACCUAGCUAGCUGGGGCACUAUAAAAUAAAAAUAGUACUCAAAUCACCUGACUAGGAUCACCAAGGAACCCACCGUGAAGAAUUGGUGACAGGCCGCCACCCAAACCAGUUCGAGUAACAUCUUCCUGCCUUGGCCUUGAGAUGAGUCGGCAAUUAUUCACUGGAAGGUAUUGGCAUCAGAAAAGGCCAGCAAAACUCUACUACAGCAACGAUUUGCAAAUGAAAAUGAACAGUGGGAAUAUAUAAUGUGAUGGCAAGCAAAAGCAAUGAUAUUUAAAGCAGUAAUAAACAGCAUGAUUAGUCAAUUUACUCAGGUUUUCUCCGGGAUUGAAUAUGCAAAAGAAAUACUCCAUAAAGAUACGUAAAAAUUGGAAAAUUAUUCAGUGAUUCUAUAGUUUGGAUGCUUUGUCAAAAUUGGUCUAUGCAACUUCACUUAAGCAACCAUUUGAUGAAUUGGCCACUUCCAGGUUUUAGGAGAACAGUUCGUUUGAACAUUCAGCGAAUCAUGUGUUCAGAUUCAGAUGACAAGACAACCAUACCAAGUCAGCAACCCCAGCUUCAAAAGCUUGCAAGGUUUCAGACAAAGAAAAAAGGAAAGACCAGAGGCAUUGAAACAUAAUUUUUCACAUUCAAUGAACAUAAUAAAUAGUGUUGAAGGAACUAUAAAUUAACUGUAUUAGGAACAGAAUACACCCACAGCACAUUUUGCUCCAACUCUUGAAAUGUACAUCAGUAUCGAAUUAACUCAAAAUACCACAAACUCAAGUGCACGUGUAACGACUUAUUGAUGAGAAUUCCAAUCACUAGUCAGAAAUAACAAAUUAUUAAUAAAGUUUUUAAUUAUUGAAUCCUUUCAAUUUGAAUUUCAAUGUAGCUAAAGAUGUAAUUCUAGACAUUACUUCUUUAAACCCAAGUCACCAAUUCAAUGAUUAUGAUGACACUAACAAGGACUGUUUUGUAGCAUGGAAACAUAUAAGACUGCCAAGGUAAUGGAUUCUGGGACCAAUUAGAAAUUGUCAAGAAAGGUAAAUCAGAAAGAGAGUAGCAAUAACAGCAUGCCAUUAUCAGCAUAAAGACAGGUAAAGGACCUCCACUGGUUACCUAGCUUGAGCUAACUUCUGAACCAAGUACUCUCCUUUGAAUUGCAAAAACCCUUCCUUCUCUGUGUGCGACUAUCUGUGUGUUCGUUUGAAAUCCUUGGGACCAGCUAGGUUUGACAUUGAUGCAUUCAUCUCCUCCAAAAAGGUCAUUGCCAAUUCAAUCUUUCCCAUCUUCUUCAAACUAGCAAUUAAUGAUCGAUAUAUAUAAAUUGAGGGACGAAUCUGCUUUGUUUUCAUCUCAUUGAAGAGUCUCAAUGACUCCUCAAUGUUUCCGGAUUGGCCAAAACUCCAAAUCAAUGCAGUGUAUGUAAGCAAAUCUGGUUCAAUUCCAUUCCCAACCAUGUCUCGGAAAUACACUGAACACAAAUCCAAUCUUCCUACUUUGGUCAACUGAUUUAGCAAAGUAUUGUAAGAAAUAAAAUCUGGGAGAAUUCCUGCUUCCUUCAUGGAGGCAAACUCACCGAGCAUUUCAUCAAUUCGACCUGCACGACCUAAAAGAUCCAAAACAGUAUUAUACGUAACCAAAUCUGGCUUACAUUUCAGAUUCUCCAUCUGCUCAAAUAUCAGAAUGGCUUUGUCAAACUGCCCGCAUUCAGCAAAGGCAAAGAUAAAUCUAUUUACAACCUUCGUGCUACUUGGGAAUGUCAAUUCAGAAACUUCUUUGACAAGUCUCAGUAGCUGGACAUCAUCGUUUGACUUCACAAAACCCCUGGCAAGUUUCAGAUACAAAGAUGAAGGCAAAGACUGAAAAGACAAGAUCAAAUCCUUGAAAACCUGGGACAAAAUCUCAACAUCGUUUUUUUCACUAGCUGUCACCAAAAUUAUAUUAUAAGCACUAGGACCAAGGAAAAUGUUUUUAUCGCGUAACAAUCGCAGCAGUCUAACCGCAGCAAAAAGAGUUCCAGCUUUACAUAAGUUAUGGACAUAAGCUGUUCCGACUUUCCUAGUAGUGCAUUCUGGGGCAUUUUCAACAGCUUCAAGCAUUUGAUUCAAGUUAUCAUCCUUGAUCUCCUCUCCAUCAAAAGACGCUCGUGUUGUGAGUUGCUUGUAAUGACCAAUGACUUCAGUAAUUGUGGCAAAGUGGGGCAAAAUCCAAUGAGAACCAACUGGGAUGGAUGUGAUACAAUUCUGUAUUAGAGAUAUAAUCAAUACCAACUAAAAUUCUCAUUAGAGAGUAAAACCAAAUAGAAAAAGAAAAAGAAACCCUCCAUAAUAUUUGCAAACUACAUCCAAUUAAACUCAGUCAGAAAUGCAAAGUUUCAAAGCUCAAAACUACAAAACGUAACUAAUUCGAUGAUAUUUCAGCUCUAAUUUCAAAAAAGAAAGAGGAAAAACCCAUUUCGAGUAGAGGUGACUUGAUCACCAUUAACCACAUGUAACUGAAAAAUCCCAGUUUUCUCAGGUGCCAAACAACAGAAAAGGAAAAUUAUAAAGAAACUUCCAGAAAAAGACUCAUCAACAAGAAUAAUAACAGUAAUGAAAUGGGAAGUCAAAUUAAGUAACCUUCCGAAGGAAGAAACGAACUUUGUGAAGAUGAAAAAGGAGGCUGCUUGAUAGAAAGAAGGAUCUCGCUACAACAUUAACAAAAUUUCUCAUCAGAGGCGUUUUGAAAUCGGGUUCUUAUUGUCGCCGGCUCAAAUGCGACUGCCUUCAAGCUUUUGCCGCGAUUGAACGAACUGUGGAUCGUCUUGGGCGGGUCGGGUGUGGUGACGGAGUGAGGGUUGAGUGAACUGGGAAGGGUUUAAGGAAUUGGGUUCGUGGGGUACUUUCGAGAUUUAGAGGGUUUUGGGGGUCUUUUUAGUUUUUAAUGCAAGGGUAAGACUGACAUGAAAUUUUGUGGAGGAAUUCACAAGUAAUACGAUGCCGCGUCACAAAUCGUGGUAGAUAAUUGGGCUUGGAUUGGGCCUAAGCAUUUUGGUUUAAUAUCUCAUACUCGUGCGUCUAAUAAGUUCGCAGUGUUUCUAGGGCAUUACCCCAGCAUGCAUGCAUAUCCAUAUGCUUUUAGGAUCCAAAAUCCUAUUUUUAGGCAAGUGUUCUUAAGGGAUGUCUUCUCUUGUUAAUAAACAUUCAAUAAACACUUAGUUAUUUCUGGGGAAAUUGUUGGGUAAAUAGUCAUUUAUCUCCUUUUUACGGCAAUGUUUAUGCUACGUGGCAGUUUUAUCAUAUAAUAUGGCAACACCAUAAAAACUUGGCUAACUUUUUUAUUAUCAUUUUUUAAACAAUAAUUCAACCAAAAAAUUGAGAGAUCUAGGCACACUUAUAAAUACUGGCAAAUGCCUCCUACACAACAUCAGAAGCUGCAUCCAUAUCAAACAAACAAAUCCUACACUUCGCAAUUAGGUAAUAUGGACGCCUGGAAGAGCCUUUCAGUUUUUGCCAUCCUCCUUUUUCUUAUUCUCUUUAUCUCUUCUGGUAAAAUGCUCCUUCAACCCCGUGCUGCUUUAUUUUUUGUUGGCUAAGGUAGACAACGAAUUGUUUGCUCACAGGAGGAUGAAAGCACUAACACCUGAUCGAAAUUCACACAUCUAAAUCCUUUGAUAAAACGUUCCAGUGUUGUGUCAUAGAGAUACCUGCACACCCAUAUUUUUUAAUCUGGGCACUUCUCAGGAAAUGCUUGAAAAAUUCUAAAUUUUAAACAGAGUUUCUAUUACUAAACGUGGCAGCAGUGCUCUUAAAUGUAUGAAGAUCAUGUCAAGAUUACUUCGAUGACUUGAUUAUUUCUUAAUGAGUGCAGGUAGCGAGAAGAUGCUGGCCAAUGAGAGAAACCAUUGCAUGGAGGUGUCUGUCAAAAAGAUGAAGGCAAUAAAGGAUGUGUGGCCAAGUAUGGCGCUGGCUAUUAUGGAUAUUGCUAAUUCCUACUCCUGGAUGAAACUUAAAGUUCCAGUGUAUCUUUCACUAUUUAUGUGAAAUGUGAUGCAGAAAAAUAAUAAUAAGUUCGAGGAGUAAUAACUAAAUCAUUACUCUUUGUUUUAUGUCAUGUGCGGGUGCAUGGUCUGAAUUUUGACACUGAUCCAAUCCAGAUUUCAAAUAAAAAUAGAUCGAAACCAAUUAUUAACAACUAAAAGCGUUUCCAACUAUCUAUCAUAGGUGAACGCUGCCCUACGCCUAAUGAAAUUACUUGCACCCAUAUCCAAUCUUAAGCAGGGCAGUCAUCCCUUUCCAUGAAUAUAAGCAGGCGCAUACAAUUAGCAAAAGGAGCACCAUAUCAACGGUCACGUGGUGAGUCUCUGCUGAUUCAGGUUUACAAUCCCCUUUUGCCUUUAAGUAAAAUCUCACCAGCUAAAUCAAAUAAAGCAAUCAAGAGAACCUUCCCCUUCUCUAAAUCUUCACCCAAACAUGUUAAUUUUAGUUGAUAUAACCUCACUCAAAUAUUAGAGCUUCAUGGAAAAAGAAUCCAAUUCUUCAUUUGUCACGCAAUCUCUCUCUUCUCAAGAAUUGUAUAUAUGCUCUAGAAGGUCAGACACGUGCAAAAUAGUUGCCUAAUCAACCAACCAACCAACCAUACAACAUCCAACUGUUCAACUACGCCUCCAUGAUUAAUUAACGUGUUCUUAACAUAUUUAUCAUCCUUUUUACUUUUAGGAAUUUAGUAAUUCACUAAUUCCUAUGCAUUUCCAACCCUCAGAGUGAGCCUCGCCAUUGUUUUUCAAAACUCUUUAUACCGAAAAAAAUUUCUUUGAACAACAGCAAAUCUCAGUAUCAGAUUCUUCAUGCACACCAUGCAGCCUCCACAACAAUUUGCCAACCUUACAAAAAAUGUGAAACUACAAGGAUUACAUCCACUGCUAGCCCUUAAAUCCUCACAAGUCAUUUUAAGUUCAGCACCAGCAAUCUUCAAUAACCAUGGUUAUGGUUUUCAUUUUUCUUCAUCUUUUGCCUCAGGAUAAUUUUUCCAUAUCAAAUCAAUAUAAAUAUUCUGCAUAAUCAAAACUUCACAAUAAUCUCCCAAUCCAGGUACAGCCAUAAAGGUUCCAAAGCUACCUGCACCUAAUUCCUCAAUCAAAUAAAACUGUUCAUCUGUAAAAAAAUCAUAAAAGGCAGCCACUGCAAACCCUAAUCUUAUUACCAGCACAAGCAAAAUUCUCGAGAAUGGAAAGUUAAAAAGAAGACCAUCGAUCACCUAUCCAAGAUUCAAUUAGUACUACUACAUCUUGAUGAAGAAUCGGACAAGAUAAAAGAGCAUCAUACCCACAAAUGCAUAUGUACUAUUUACACUGAAAUACCAAGUUCCUACAACAAGAAGAAAAAAAACAACCUCCUGCAUACUUCACAAACUCAGACUAAAAGAUGAUAUGUUCAAUAAAUUGAACAUGCAUCCUUCCUCAUACAAAAAUUGCAAACUUCACAUAACCAAUACAACCUAUUGUAGCUCUAAUUAUUCAAAAACCAAAAAGUAAAAGGUAAAGGUAAACCAAGUUCAAUUCAACUCUCCAUGCCUUUACAACAUAAUUCCACUAGAAAAAUCACAGCAUAUUAUAAUUUGAUAAUUCUUUAUUUAUCCAGUCAUUGUUGCCACACAACACACUUACAAUCCUAAAAAUCAUUAAUCAAAGAUCACCUAUUGCACUAAAUUAAACAACACAUCAAUCAAUUACGCAUACAUUAAUAUAUAGAUUGCAAAAUUAAAGCACUGUCAUUAAUCAAUAACAUCCAUAACAAACCUAGCAAUUCCAAAAAACAAAAGGAGUUAUCAUUUCUUAAACUAAACUAAUAAACGAAAAAAAUCUACUAAUCUUUGGUAGUAACGCCAUAUUUUUCCUGCAUCUUAACAAUCUCUUCUUCUUUCUUCUUCUGAUCAAACUUCUUACUCAUCUUCGCUUGCUGAUAGUACAGCACAAUCAAAUACCUAUUCGCCACAUUAAACCCUGACAAGUGAUCCACCGCCGUUUUGGCAUCGUAGAUAUCUUCAUAAACCACAUAAGCAGUGCCUCUCGUGUCCUUGUUGGUUCCGAUUCGGAUUUGACGAAUCGCUCCGUAUUUGCCGAAUAUAUCGUACAUCUCUUCGCUUGAUAUGUUGAACGGAAGAUUACGGACGUAGAGGACGCGGUUGACCUCAGGUGGGAGACGGGUGUUGCCUUUGCGGAGGCUGAUUGUUUGCGCCAUUAGUGGUGGUGUUUGGGUGCUGAGAAAGUGAGGAAUAGUUCUUGAGGAAUUUUUUUUAGUCCGGGUUGGAGAUUUCUAUAGAAAGGAGGGGAGAUUAUUAUCAUGUAUUUUUAUAAGAUAUGAUCACGUGGACUAAAUUUUCCGAGGAAAAACGGUGAGAAAGCAUUUGAAAGAAUGAAAGAAAAGCCUAGAUGAUGGUCGCAUAAAACUGAGCCCAACAUCAAGAAACUAUGGGCUAAAAAACCGAGCCCUAUAAGAAAGGAGGGCUAAAACCGAGCCCAAGAAUGGGCUUAAAGCCACGCCCAAUAAUUCUAAAAAAAGGUCCAAACCGAGCCCAUUAUUCUUUUAUUUUCGGAGUAUUUUGAAAGUAUAAUAGUAAUUAUUUUUUAAAAUAUUUUUUAUUUAAAAAUAUAUUAAAAUAAUAUAUUUUUUAAAAUUAUUUUUAAUAUUAUUACAUCAAAACAAACAAUCUGUAAAAAAAAAAUAAGCUAUGUGGUGGCAAGGUAAUUAUUUCCCACAUAAUUCUUAUGAGUAGGAUAUACCCUACUUCGUAAUGUGCAGAUUCAUGUAAUUUGUAAUUUAUAAAUACUCAAGGAUUACUAUAUAUGUAAAACAAGACAUCUACACGCACAAUUAUCUAAAAUAAUAUUUCCUUAGUUUUCAUUCUUUUAAUUUUAAUUUGCUAAUUUAAGUAUUAGAGGAUUACUUAUCCCACACAAGCGAAUUAUUUUGUAGAAAAAAAGCGAGCCAUCAGUCAAACCCUAACUUCAAGAACCUUCCAAAGCACAUUACAUAACUGUGAAAAAGUCUCGUCACUAAAAAAAGGGUUAAUUGUUCAUGCUAGCACUUGCCAGUGAAAGCAGGAUGAUUUGGAAAUUGCAUACUAUGAUGGGCAAGCAUUAAAAUCACACAGAUUUGUCCACAACUUUUUAAUGGAUUUAAUUCUAAUACUACCAAACGUAUAAAAAUCUCUAAUUAUAAUUUUAAUAAAAUCAAAGCUUUCCAAACAUGUCAUAACAUUCGAACUAGAACAAUGGCUUGUCUUUCAUUAAUCGUUUUUCAAGUGAAUGGCAGGAAUUAAACUCGGAAGUCCACCCCCACCUCUAGAUUUUCUUCCUUUGUUUUAGGCCGCUGGUCAAGGAUAACCACUCACUACAAAGUAAAAUCUCUAUUCAGCACGUAACCAUACUCUAAAUUUUGGGGGGGGGUUAUACUUUCUCAAGUUUUCUACUGCCAUUGUCUAAUUUAAACCUUGUGCUACGCUUGCUACCCACGAAAACAGGUUGGCACCGUCACUGAUUGUUUCCAUCCAUCAGUAAAAUAGGGCAUUUGACAGAGCAGCCCUGAUCUCACCUAAAAUAGACCUGUACGUAUGUACUUACGUACUGAUAAUCUCUAUUCACAAUCUUACUUCCAUAGCCUCAUCAUGGCAAUGGGGGAGGUAAGUGCAAAGCUUCAUAAGUUCAAGGGGACAUAAUUUGUUCUCGAUUUUCCUUUGUGUUUUGCUUCUGAUGUUGCUAUUUUCCAACAAGAAUUCUUGUUUCUUGUAAACUAUCAAGAGCAAAGUUAGAGAUAGAUGGGAACUGGGAGAGUUUUCUUGUUUUGAUAUCCAAGACAAAAUCAUUCAUUUAUAUUAGCAUUCAAUCACCAGCUUUUAUUUUUGCACGUGGGGUCCCUGAUCUUGUUUUGAUUAAUACGCGUUAAUGACCAAGGGGGUAUUAACCAAAACAAGAUCAGAAUGGAAGUUGUUGAUUUCCUCCCCAAAUUCACUUAACCUUAACAAUGGUUACAAGUAUAUCUACCUAUAUUCAUGUUAUUUUAAUUAUGUUUAUAUUCCGAGCAACUGACCUUGUAAGCUUCUGCGAUAAAAUAUUGAUCACUUUGGCUUCUUUUUGUUUACAGAAAAAUGGAGGGCUGUCUGUUCCUCAGUUUGGAGCAUGGGACUCCAAGAACCCGGUACCUACCAACUACUCCAUGGUGUUCACACGAGCCCGCGCUAAUAGGAAGCAGCACAAGUCCGAUGUCAGGCACGCCAGCCUUGGAAAUGAAAGGGAACUGCUAGCUGCUGCUUGCCAACAAGAAGAACCUGUCAUGGUGAGUCUACAGUCCACUCUUUAUCUUCUUUGUACAGUUUAGUUUAUCAACGAGAUUAUUGUGCUUACUUGAUUAAACUUUGCGCUUCCUCAUUUGUUAUUUGUUACCAUGCUCAGCCUGUAAUGGUCCAUAUCCCCUUGGUCUUUGGUAAACGCAUAUGGAUCAUUCCUUGGCUGAGUAUGACUUAAUGAGGGAAGCUAUAUAAAUCACAUUUGUAAGGAAAAGAAUGAGGGGAACAGUUGGGGGGGGGGGGUAUGAAAAAAUAACAACGAACAACGACAUUCUGCUUUCUAAUUCUUCUCUAUAUGUAUUCCGUGCAGAAGAGAAACAAGAUCUUGACCUACAUUCAUUGCUGUAUUAGGCCUUGAUUUCACAAGAACCUAGGGUUCAUCAACUCAUGUAAUUCUCAAGUAUUAAAAUAUAAAUUUCUAUUUUGUGAAUCUAUAGACAAGACGUGUCAUUAAUUCGAAACCUUGUAAUCUUUUGCUGUGAGCCUUGGUUACUAUGCAUGACUUUCUGCUUGCAAAUGUUCUUUAUAUUGGAAAGCAAAUAGAAUACCAGCAGAUUACAACUAAAUUAAAAGCAGUGAUAUGACAUAAAUUAAUGGACAUUCACGAACAUUUCAGAAUAUGGUAUAGUCCAGUUCAUUUAUUAUUUGAACAUUACCAUUAUUUAGUGUUACAUAAUUCGUAAAUAAGUUUAUCAUAGUAUAAUCUAGAAUUGAAGCUUGGUGGAGUUGGCUGUCAAAAUUUGUACAUUGUGGUAUUGUGUAUAAGUCUCCUAUAUGCAAUCUAUAAUAGAAAGGAAGAAUCCUAGUAGUAGUACCAGCGACUUAAGUUGUAGAUUUAGAACGUUUUACUGGAGCAUUCAGGGAGGAUAGGUAUGAAGCAUCAGCCUUGUCAAUUCCGCUGAAAAGAUAAUUGAAAGGGGGCAUUUCUAUGUACUUUCCAGAGCCAGGAACAACCUUCAGUUCAUUAUUUUCCCAAACAACUCGUCCUCCAGCAAUUGUCACCUCAACCUUUCCCUGAGGAAAAGAUGGUAUGAACUUUCAAAACCCAACAUGCAGUGAAAGGGUUUAGGUAAAAACAUGAAUAUGAAAAUACAUGCACAUGAUGCUGGUGAGUGUGAAAGUGUGCACCAGUGCGCACUCACACACCACAGGUAACUAGCAGAUGCAUGCUCACUUGUGUGCCAGCAUAUCUCGUUUCUAAUCUCGUAUUCCCAGCCAAUAUAAUGGUGAUAUUUCUACCAAAGAUUAUUGGACAAGACCAUGUAUUUAACAAAAUAUGAAAAAUGUGAGCAUAGCUUCAAGGCAUGGAUGAAUCCUGGUGGUAACAAAUCAGGAUAUCCAGGAUCACAACUCAAGGGUUGCAACAUGGCUAUGUUUCUCCUAAAAUGCUUAAUAGGUAGAGUAUUUUAGUGACUCCGGGCUCUCAACGAAAACAUAACCUUUGUAAUGAAUUCCUGAACCCAAGCAACAAUAUUUUUUAUCUUUAACAUAGUUUUGACACACUCUAGAAGCAAUAUUUUGAAAAGAAUAAAUAUAACUGAAAAAACGCUGAAAAUACUGUAGCUGCAAGACACCAACCACUUAGAUUGGAAGAAUCAAAAGAUGAUAGACAUCAAUUAAAACCUAGGAUACCUUGCUUUAGUCAAGGUCAAACUGGUGUGAGGCCCCUUAUGUAAGAAGGGCUAAUAGGUACUUUGAAUUCCACUUGUUAACGAAACAAAAGAGAACUAAAUUAUAGUGAAAAAAUUACCUUCCCCCUUCUGCCCUCAUAAACAUUUGUAUCUGUUCUAGAGUGGUGAGACCGGGCAUUUAUUUCAAAGCUUGAGUUUGGGUUGAGUAUAAUUAUAUCAGCAUCAGAUCCAGCAAUAAUUGCUCCUUUUCUUGGAUAUAUGUUGAAGACCCUAGCACUGGAAAAUUCAUACGGAUCAAAAUGAUUUUACACACUUCAUGAAGCUAAAUCAUGUGAUUCAUCAGAUUGUACAUGACGUAUACUUAUCAUUAUUAACCCUGAGACUGAAUAACAUGAUUCACAAAUAGACACUAAACUAACAGAGAAUAACGGUCAAAGCAUACCAUUCAGUGCUUGUGACCCUUACAAAAUCAUUGAUAGAAAUUUGGCCAGAUUCCUGAAAGUGCUCAACUUUUAGUUGACAACCAAUAUGAGGACAACAAUUUAAAUUAAUAUAGUACGUAGGAAUGAUUAUGCAAAGAGUCACAGAAGCUUACCACCAUCGUAUCCCAAACCAAAUGCAUCCUCUCCUCAAUACCUAUGUUUCCAUUUGCCAGAGUUAGAAAAAAGAAAAAAUGGCUAAAAUUGAGUCAACAUAAUAAGAAGAGGAAUAGAUUUGACUUAAGCAAUAACAUUUUUAUUACCAUUGACACCAUUAGGAAUUUUACGGAAAUCAUCAAUCCCGAAGGCUUUUUGUGUGGAAUUAAAUACACAAUGAUCAGUUCCUACCAGCUGCAAAUUGUAAUGAGUGGCAUGAGAAACAAAUAAUGAGAUUGUUCUUAAAUGAGUAAAUUGAUUAAUAAGUCUUCGAUGAUUCAAAAUAACAGUGAAUCUAGAUUUAUAUAUUGCAUCUGAAGCUUAUAACCACCAUCACAAACUUUAAGAGACCACAUGUCCCCAUUUUCCAGAACAUGAAAUUAAUUUGUCACUGAAAUUAGCUUUACAGAAAUUAGAUGAUCUCAGGUAUCUUUAAGGUAUGAACUAUUCCUCCAGUCAAUCUUUAUAAUGACAAGAGAGAAACCUGUAGAACUCCAUUUGAAAGGGCACCUUGCAGGACUUUGUUAUGUCCUGCUGCUCUUAUGGGGGGGCUCAUGACAAACCUGAAAAAUGAGAAUAUAGUAAUGCUUGGCAAUCAAUAUAUAUGACAAAUUGAUCAAAUGUGUUCACCUCCCUCCCCUCUCCAUCCAAUAAUAAUAGUGAUAAUGGACAGAGUGCUGGCUCUUACUUUGAUGCAGUGGCAAAGUCAGAAUCCCAAAGUCCUGAAUCAUCAAGGACCAAUCCGGAAACCACUGGCUCACCUACAACUCUCUGUCCUGCAGUUUGAAGAAAGUGAUCUGGCUUUCAUGUUUUGAGAACAAAAAUAAAAUCGAAGCGACAUAGCACCAGGGAAGUCAUAAACAGAACAAGUUAGGUACCUAAUGUCUUAAAGAGAAUCUGGCAGUUGAAAUACAUUUUACAACCCUGUUUAGAGUCCCAAAGGAAAGGUUUUGAGAUGCCUUUAGAAAGCGAGAGGUUGCAGAGGGGAUGGUAUAAAGCAGUGCAGUUAGGGAAAUAAGCUGGUGCAAGUUAGGAACUAAAUCAUGCAGAAAUCCAGGAUACACAAAAGUGGGUGUUAAUAAGGGGUGAGUAAGAAUUUGAUUAUAGAUGGGAACAAAAGUGGCUGAUUACAGUAAGAAAUCAAUUGCAUGUAGGAACAAGCAGCCAUCAAAAUUACUGGCAACAGUGCCUGGCACAAUUGCGAGAAGCACAUAGAGGAGUCAGGUGAUAAAUAUAAAUGGUUGAAAUGGGACAUCAUCCUUAUUCUCAUACUCAUGCAUGGUAUCAAUUAACUUAAUAAUCAUGUGAAAGAUUUAUAGCCACUCCAGUUUUUUAAGAUCAAUUUCACUGGGCAUGCGGACUAUUUUAUCUUCUCUAUUACUUGAACAUCCUUAAUAAACAUGACUUGUCCAGCUUGUAUUCCAGAAGUAUUACUAUCUAUCCUCUAUAGUCCGCUACUCUUUCCAGCCAAAUUUUUUAUUUACUUGUUUCAGACACUAUCCAUUAUCUUACAUCAAUGUUGGCGUGUUAUUGAAUCCGGCUUUCUUAGUAAUAUUAAAUUUAAGAGAAAGAGUAAAAGAAAAUAAAUGAAAUAUAAGGGACGACAGCAACGAAUUUAACUGUUUCGUUCUGUUACAGAAAAUGCCUGUUCUCUUAUAAACUCACAGCUAUGCAGUAUGUACCACCCUGUAAGCAACAGAUUCUUUUAUAUGUUUGUUAGACUCUAUUCACAAUGGUGUGAAUUGUAAUUGACUACUGCGGUCAUGUAAAACUUCUCAACAAACAAGAAAAUGAAAUAUUAAAAACUUUAAACCUGAUUUUCGAGCUUUGGCUAUUUCUUCCAUGGCAUCAAUGCUCAUCACAUGAACUACAUAGAGAGGUGUGUUCACAAAACCAGCUAAACGAAUUGCUCGAGCAGUUGCCUCCCCUUCCAGCUGCACGAGAAUCAAACUAAAUGCUAAAUUAUAAAAGAAAGAUGUGUACUUCAAAAAAUCUUUAAGGAAAUGGAAUACCGUGUAAUACAACUACAUAUCUGCUUAGCACGAACAGUUAUCAAUCAGAGAUCAGUAAAAAAGUAAAAAAAUUGCUGAGCUAAGCUAAUCUUAUUAGCUAAAGAAUUCAUUCUUAAAGGAUCAGACACAGGCUGUUUCUGCAGAUCAAAUACACGAUUGAAAAAUCCUGUGAUAAUCACAUUAAUAACAUCAUAAAAUACAGUAUAUAUCUCUUACAACAUAAGAUUAACUAAACAGGGAGUGAACAAAAAAAGGUAAAAGCAGUCUGCCACAUUCUCUCACAUAUUGGUCCUCAACCUAAGCACUAAAUCCUCCCAGGAAAAAUCAACACAUCAUAGAGGAACAAGAAAGGAAAAUGACUAAAAACAAUUGGAACAACUAAUUCACCAAAUAUAAGGACAGUAGAUUUGGUCUACAGGCUACUAGAAGAUUAUUUGUAUGAUAUGGGUGGGUAGGGGUUCACACAAAUUCUAGAGUGAAGCACAUAGAUCAUUUCUCAAUUACAGAAUUUUUAGUUAGCCGGCACACAUUACAACGCGGAGAGCAUAUUUGAAGGAUUACCAAUGGGGGCCUUGAAAGAGCAUGUCCUUCUGGACCAGUAAUACCAAGUUGUAUCAUUCUUUUCUGUCCUUCAAAUACAGCAUCUCCAUUUUCUGCGUGGACCAUGGCCAAUGCACCAAGAGACUUGCACCGCUUCAGUCCUUCUAAUAGAAGCUCAUCAUUGACCAUAAGCGACCCCUUGUAUGCUAGAAAAAACUUAAAAGAGUUGAUACCUGCAAGUUUUAAAUGCAUGUAGAUUUUAAAUAAAAAUAAAUAAAUAGCCAGAGGUUGCUGUUUCUCAGUUCUCCGAUAUAAAUUGAAAAAAAAAUACUAGAAAGAAUCCAUGGAUGACCUUGAACAAAAAUACCAACCUUUUUCCUUCACCAUAAUUUCCAUAUCCCUUGAAACACUGUCAUCAAACUUAGUGAUUGCCAUAUGAAAACCAUAAUCCAUGCAUGAUUUCUUUGCCUUUUCCUCAUAGCUUUCUAAACCUGCUAUUAAACUGCCAUUUACUGGUAUAACAAAGUCAAUAUGCAUUGUGGUCCCACCUGCUAAUGCCGCUGCCUGACCACUGAAAAAGUCGUCAAUAGUUUCAGUGCCCAUAAACUCCAUAGCAAGGUGCGUGUGAGGAUCAAUUCCACCUGAUGUUACAAGGAGAAGAUGGCAGCCAUAAAAUGGAAUGAUUUGCAUUAAGUUUUUAAACCCAGUAUUGGUAUUAACAGCUAACCAGAUAGUCGUUACGCACUCAAAUUACUUCUAACAUAGAGGAAAGAAUUCACAAUAUGAACAUUGAAAGCGCGGUGCAGAAAACAUUUAAAGGAAGCAUCCAAGAGCUGAUUCUUGCAUUAUAAAGAUGUAUUAGAUUUAUAAAAGAUGCAUAGAGAGUGAUUAAUGUGCCUAGCUCGUUUAGAUUCCAAAACUCUGUUUGAACUGCAACAAUGAAUGCAUGAAAGAGUACUAGACAAGUGCUAGCUAUAUCUCUAAAGCUUUGUGUUUUAUAAUAAGAUUGGUGUGAGAAAGAAAAUGGAGAGAUAGAAGGAAAUCCUAGUGUAUGGGAUCUGUGAAGCAUACAAAAUCCUGCUGUUAGAAAGUUUAAAACACAAAAAUUGAUCUAUCAUGAAGAAAUAAUACCGCAACUAACCUGGCAUGACAAACUUUCCAGUGGCAUCAAUUACUUUAACAUCAUCAGUAACCUGCAAAUAGCAACCAAACAAUUGAAAACUAAGUAUGAAAGACAUCAUAAAGUAAAGCCCGAGCAUUAACAGCCAAAACAAAGCAUUAAAGAAACCAGAUCAUUUAGCAACGCGAGAGGGUAACGAAUGUAUAUCACAUUCUGAAUAAAGCAGAUUUAAAAUACAGACAGGUAUCAGGCGGGCAUAAGUAGCUAUGAACCGUGAGCUGCUAAGACUAUAGUAUUAUGGUGUCCCAGAAUCCUGCACUUUAUCUAACUUAUUUAGCAAGUUAGGUAGGCUUACAUUGUAUUUGCAACCAAAAUGCCCUACUGAGCCUCAAUUUUUUGAUGAAAUACAUCCAGCAUGUCUAACUAAUAUUACUCCUUGGAAUUCUCACGUAAUAAAUUGUGAAUCUGUAUCCACAUACAGGGAAUCCAGAAUUGCGGAUGUUAGUUUUCAAGUAUCAUUAAUAUGAGAUUGCAAAUAAUUUAAAUCCCCUAGUGACCAAACUUUAUCAUCAUAUGAACUUUCCAGUCAGAAGAACUGAAAUCCAUUUAAAAUUUAUAUUAGAAUAAUCUGUUCCCCUUUUCAUUGACGCAAGCCCAUUAUCAAUGCCCUUGUGAAGUUGGCUAGAACUAAAACAAGCUGCCUGCUCUUAUUAGUUUUUCCGUACCUCAUUCGUUUCGAUUCUUCUUUUUUUUCUGGUUCUGCCGAAGCUAUUGCAUAGUUUACCUAGCCUUUAUUGAUCUUAUUUGUAUUCUUAUCAAAGAGUGAGGCCCUCUCAUUCCUUAGUUUAGGGAGUGAGAGGGGCAAGGCAAAAGGGUGGGUGGUCCCUUGCACCAGUGUUCCUUAUCUCAGUAGUGGAAUUCGUAGGAUAUGACUUCUACCAAACUCAAACCUUCCUUGAGCUGAGGAAAUCUAAUUCAAGAGGUGGAUAGAUAGGACUACAUCUUGCUCAAUCAGGUUUUUUUUUCCAGUAAAACAUAUAAAAUCUGCCUGCUUGCUUCAAUUAAGGAUAACAAAUCAACAUCAUCAUACUUUCCUCUCCUUUCUAUGGUGCUAGCUAGUAAACUAUCACGACACUGGCUAGUUUGAAACUGCUGCUAUAUGUUACAUCAUAACAACUUGAAAAUCAUAGUAUGAGAAAGCAUCUCCUGCCAUUUCCAAGACACUUCAUCAAAGAACUUGAAAUAACUCUUCCUAAAAAAUCAUUGAUGGCUUCUACUAAGACUACUUUCAUUCUUUCUUAAUCGACAAAAAAAAAAAAAAAACAAAACAAAAUCCAACACUUGUAAACAGUUAAAAAAGAUCGGAUUUUUUUUUUCAAUUUUUGUUCACCUGUUUUUGGGUCAAAAAGAUUGAAAUUAAACCAACUUCUAGUAAAGCCUUAGCUACAGUACAGAUUAAAAAAAAAAAGGAGAGGGAAGAUAUAUUAAAUACCUUGAGAUCAGGCUUGACAGCAACAAUAAUCCCAUCCUCUACGUAAACAUCAGCAACCUCUUGGUGGUGUGCAUUCACGACAGUUCCUCCCUUGAUCAACAGCUUCGUUGAUGAUGAAAGUCCACAUCCAACCUCACCAUAUCCAAUCCCAGCUUCGCAGAACUGUGAAAAAAAAAUAAACCAAAAUUUUCAAAUCCUUUUCUCUUUGCAAGUAAUAAUACUUUAUCUUGAUUGAUUGAUUGAUUGAUUAGUCAGUAUAAAAAAGAAGAAAAAGUUGAAUAGCGUUUUUCACUUUCUCGGCGUCCAAACAGAAAGUCAACUCAAAUUUACUUAGAAACCAAUCAUCAAGUGAAGCAAAUAAGGAAAUUCAAAGAUGAUAAAUUAGUAGUGGUAUGAAUUACCUGGUUGGAUUGUGAAUUUGAAGGAGAAUGAGUGAGGAGAAGAAGAGAGAGUGAGAAGAAGAGAUAGAAACGAGAAGCCAUUUUUCAAUUGAGAGUGAGAUCUCUGUCUCGCACUAGACGCACAAGAUGUCCUGCGCCAGCCUAUUUUUGGCUUUUCAAGCGGACGCGCGUUGAGUGUCGUUCAUUUGAGAGAGCGGUUGUAUUGUAAUUUUUUUAUUUUUUUUAAAUUAAAAUAAUUCUUUUAAUGUUUUUUCAUUAUUUUAAUGGGUUGAUAAUAAAAUAAAAAUAAAAAAUAUUUUAAUAUACUUUUAAUUAAAAAAUAAUUUUAAAAAUAUGAUCCACAUCAAUCUUAAACACUAUCUUAUUUGAUUUGAUCUGUAAGAAAUUAGGAAGCAAGGAACAAGAAAAUUCAAGGUUGUCAAUUCUGUUCUGUUUCACUCGGAAUGGCCAAAACGUUCCAUACCAAUUCAAAAAACGGAACAAAAUGGAAUAAAUUUCAUCUCAUUUUAAAUCUCGGUCCGUUCCGGAUUUUUCGGCUAAAUUCCACCUGGAACGUUCCUGUUUCAUUCCACAUGUUCCGUUUCGCUCUUGAAAAGUCAUUGAAUCAAAUUGAACCUUGUUCAAUUUAAUUAAUUAAACUACCCAGUUAUAAAAAGUUCUUUUUCAUUACAAUUUUCAAUAACAAUGAUAUUAAUAAUAAUAUUGAAAAUUAUUAUUACUAUUUUCAUUAACAAUGAUAUUAAUUUUUUAAAAUUAGAUUUAUCACUAAUAUAUAUGGUUUAUAUUCAUGUUGUUUUUUUCAUGUUUAUACUUUGUAGGAAUUUGAGCAAAACAAAGGAUGCUUUAGAUUCCAUUAGCCUUGAUAACAUUAACAUAACUUUAUAUUUAAAAUAUUUGUGUUAAAACAUUUUACUUUCAUAAUAUUUUGAUAUUUUGUUUAAGUUGAAUUACUUUAAGUUAAAGAUUUAUUUAAUCUUGACUAUUUAGAAAUAUUUUAAAUUUUAAAAUUAUAUUUAUUUGGCAUUGUGUUUGUAUUGCAUAAUUUAUAAUUAAUUUAUCUUGAAUUUGAAUUAUGUUUGUUGAAUAUAUAUAUACAUAUAUAUAUAUAUAUAUAUAUAAACAGUACAACCCAUGUCAAAACACUCCAAAACUGAAACAUUCUAUUUUAAUUAAAAAAAUAAAAUACCUACCAAAACAGAAUAGACAACCUUACAAGAAAUGCCUCCACGUCCAUAUCGUGCCUGUAUACAAAUAAUUCACGCCGGAAACAGCAUGAUAUUUAUUGAAUACGUGGGGAUAUUGUAGAACGUAAUAAAAAGAAAUUCAAAUUUGGAUAAUUGGAUUCGUGAGGAUACGGUUAUGGAAAUCCUUUUUUGGUUUUUUUUUUUAAAUGUAUUUAAAAAGAUUGGUUCAAGUAUAAUUUAAGUUUUAUGAGAUUAUACUACAAUCUAGAAGACAUAGCGUGCAUAGACAGCGUUCAUAUUAUACUAACAACUGAAAUAUACGAGGUGCAUGGUUUACUAUUCAUAUUAUACUGCAAACUAAAAAACACUUGUGAUGAGUUUAUUGGAUCAAUUUAAGAUAAUUUUUAUUUAAAUUAUUUUUAAAUUAUUGCUCAUAAAUAAAUUAAAUUGAGAGAUUUUAAAAUUAAUCUGUUGAACCAAGAUUAAUAAUAAUUUCAAAUAAUUCUUUGCGACUUAGAUAUGUUUUUGUUAUAUUUACAAAAAAAUUAAUCUAACGCGUAAUAUAACACGAACUUUAAAGUAGUAAAAUAAUAAACAUUUAGCUCAAUAAAACUUUAUUUUAAGACUUUUUAAUUAAUCAAAUAAUUAUUGUUUUAUUAUGAUUAAUUAUUAUUUUUUAAAUAAUUGAUUAAAUAAAUUUCAAGAUGAUAUUUUAAAAAAAUAUUAUGACAUCCAUAUAUUAGAUAAACUCGGUCUUCGCGACUUAACCCGUCAAAUUCAUGACUCGGAUCAUGAACUCCAAUGAGUUUAAUAAUUUUUAAAAAAAAUAUAUUUUCGACUUGAUUAUAUUAUAAAAAAUAGACGAUUGCAAAAUCAGGUACUAACCAAAUAUCAUGGUGUUAUUUUAGACCACGACAACCUCACAAAAAGUAAACCAAGAUAAAUUAUAAGAACCAAUUAAAAGUUAAUCAAAUGUAGAUUGAUAAAAUUUAAAUCAUACAUGAUAUUGAAUAAUAAAAUUAAACAAAAUACAAAAAAAAUAAAAGGUAAGAAAAAUAAAUAUGUUAGCCCGAGCCUUUUACAAAAAUCUAGUGAUAGAUGCCUAGGAUAGGUUUACACGUCUAAGCCUUGUUUAUCUUUUUUUUAAAAUACCAUAUGGUUUUUCUUUUUCUUUUUAAAAGCAUCAACUACUGACAUGUUGCUUGUUGCUACUCAUAAUUCAGUCACCAACCACAUUUUGGUGGUCAAGAAUUAAAAGGCAGGUUUUUUUAAUUAAAACUAUAUUCUCAAUCUUUCUUCUUUUGUUUUUUUUUUUGCAAAACAUAUGAUAAACAUCAUACAAAUUACCUAACAAUCCCAUAACACCCCAGAACCAUCUAAAAAUAAAAAUAAAUUGAAUCAAAAAAUCAAAAUGAAAUUUGGUCUCCUUACAUCAAUUAAAUCAAUUGAAUCAAAACUAACACAUAAGAAAACGUCUUCCUUACAUCAAUUACCCCAAGGAAAAAGAGAAGCAUCAAGCAAAAACUAUAACAAGAUGUGGACAAAUGGAUUGCUUAUUGUAGCAUUGGUGGUGAUUUACUACACUAAUUUGAUUAGAAAAUGAAGAAACCCUAAAAUUAAUGUUCUUCCUUCAGGUUUUAUAGGUUGGCCUUUCAUUGAAGAAACUCUUCUGUUCAUUAUUCCUGAAGAUCUCUAGACCUUCAUCCAUUCGUCUAGAAAAAGAUCCAAAAAUAAUAUGUUGGGUAGCAUACUUUGCGAGAGAAAAAAUAGAAUGUUUUAUAUACUUGCAUGUUUAUUUACUACUAACAAAAUCAUAUUAAUUUCCUUGUUUCAGGUACAAACUGAUCUUUAAAACCAAUUACUUGUGUUGCAACAUGAAGGAACUUCGGUUUAGCUAUGGUAUUUGGAUUCAUUUGUCAAGGUUUUCGCACUUGAAGAUGAAAACAGAGUGAGCGUUAUUAGUGAAGUUCAUGGAUAUACAUGACAAGCAUAACCUUGAGCCCAUUUGGUGCCGAGAGAAUUAGAGAAUCGUACUUGCAUUAACAAAAAUUAAAAGAGGUGGGGGAAAUCAAUGUUACCAUCCUUACUAUUCAUUUGAAAGUAGUUUUUUUUUCUUUUUUUUUUCUAGAAAAUGAUUCAUUUGAAAAGUGGAUUUCUAAAAAGUGAAUUAUUUUCUGAUGUUUGGUAAUGUCAUAAAAAAUAAAUUGAAAAACACUUUACAGUGUUUGGUCGUGUCAUUUAAAAUUUGCUGGAAAAUAACUUAUUGAUGUUUUAUUUUUUUUCAAGUUUAUUAAAAGAAUGAGAAACAAAUCUUACAAAUUAAAAGGUUGAAUGAAAAUGAAAUUGAAAAAAAAUAUAAUUUAACGAGUUAUCUCCAAAAAAAAAUAGUAAUCAAUACAAUAGAAAUCAAAUUUGAUAGAUAAAAAAAGUUAAAAGAUAGAUGAAAUUAAAAAAAAAAUACAAUUUCAUAAAUUAUUUCAAAUAAGAUAAAUAGCAAUAAAAAAAUAAGAACUAAAUCUGAUAGAUAAAAAAUUUGAUUUUAAAAAAGAUAAGAGAAAAGCAAAUAACAAUAUAAAAAAAUAAGGACCAAAGUUGAUAUAAAAAUCAAAUUAUAAGGGAUAAAAUUGAAAAAAAAAGAUUUAAAACAAAAUAUAUAUCAAUAAAAAGUCUAAGGAUCAAAUUUAAUAUAAUCAAUAAAUAACAUGAUAUUUCUAAGUUUUUUUACAUAUUCUAGAAAGUAUUUUUCACCUAAAAUAAAGUGAAAAUACUUUUCUGGUAGCCAAAUCAAAUUUUUUUUACUGAAAUGUGUUUUUUGUUGCAUAAUUUUUCUAAUAGUAAAUAAAUACAAGAAAGUUUAAAAAAUGAUAUUAAAAAAACAUUUCCAAUAAAACAUACAGGCCUAAGGUAUUUUUAUAAAUAAAACCAUGAUCAUCAAAUUUUUCUUAAUUAAAUAAACUUUUUCACGCCAAAAAAAAAAGUUUUGGCGCCAAAAAGUAACUAAUCAUAUCUCUUUCCUUGAUUUUUUAAUACCAACCUAUCUCUCUUAUCUCUAACUUAAUAGCUGAAAGUAGAAAAAUUAAAAUUUUAAAUCAAAAUAAAAUUUGCCGCUAAUAUAGGGUAGUUGUAUAUAUUUUUUAUUUUCUUUUUAUAUUUUAGACCUUUUUUAUUUUAAUUUUGUAUUUUUAUCAUGCUUUUUAAACUUGAUUUUAUGUGAUUAGACUAUAGAAGGAUUAAACAGAAAAAAAGAAAAAUGUUCAAAAAAUUAAAGAAAAAAAAAGAUUAGGUGCACAGUAAAGCGCUCAGGAGGGAAUCCCGUAUAUUUUACAUACAGUUUGGAAACUCGGUGCAAAUCGUGUUUCUAAAAAAAUUAAUUUUUUUACUAAAAUUUAAUAUGUUUUGUAUAUUUUGAAUCGUUUUGAUGUGCUGAUGUCAAAAAUGAUUUUAAGAAAAUAAAAUAAAAUCAUUGGCAUGCAUUUCGGCACGAAAAGUUAUUUGAAAAACAACCGCAAUCACACUGCCAAACAUAUUAAUUUAAUAUUAAAAAAAUAUAGGUUACAGUGAACUAUUUCGUGCCAAACAUAUUGUUUUUUUACUUCAAAUAUAAAAAAAUAUUAAUUUGAAGUAAAAAAAUAAAAAAAAAAUUAAUUUUUUAAAAAAUAUUUUUGAAACACAAAAAUAAACUGAACUUUAUAUUAUUAUUAGAUUGAACUAAAAAGAAACAAAACUCCAAUAUUCAAUUAAGAAUAUAAAAUAUAUCAAAUAAGUAUUAUUUUAUAUGUUAAGUUUUGAAUUAAAAUUCAUUUUAUCAUAAAAUAAGAAAGUAGAGAUUCAUUCAUAUACUCCCAACUUUUAGGAACAUCAUUUACCCAAAUCCUUAUGCCACCACCCCUCCUUUUGGUCUCUAGUAAAAUAGAUCCAUGGGCCUAAAUUGAUAAUUUUCAUAAGGCCGUUAUUUUCGUCAACAUAAGAUAGGCCCUCAACAUUCUUUAAGUUUUAUCCCAGAUUCCCAACCCAAAAACCGCACCAUAUCGACCCCGAUCUGACCCGCCCAAGCAUCUCCAGGGUUUUAGAAUAUUAGAUUUUAGACAGACCAGCCCCGUAACAGCACAGAGUCACAGACCCUUCCCUCCAGAGUCUCAGUGGUAAAGCCGCUUUGCAGAGUAAAAAAUCUCUCCAUAAAAUAAUCCAAAUAUUAUUCCACUCAACCGCAACAUAAGAUAAAUUAGGGUUUCUAUUUUGGUACUUUCAGUUCCUUCUCCCUGCUUGAAGACGCCAGUGGCAGCGGAUUAGCUGGUGUUUCAUCAAUGGAGUCACUGUUAGGAUUCCAAGACGAAACGAUAGCCGUUGUUGGCGAUGACCAAGAGAAAUCAACAUCGUCAUCGUACGGCUACAAAUUAGUGCCGUGGUUAAACUGGAAUGAAUGGGAAUGUGUUAGAGAUUCUCUCUUCUCCGAUUCUCCUGAGAAGAUUCACUCUGCUAUUACUAGAGUAAGACAUAACUCUCUCUCUCCCACACACAAAAUUUUCUCUGCUUGUUUCCCUAGAAAGUUAAUUUGGAAUGUCUAGGCAUUCAAAGUAUGAAUUCAAACAUCUUGCAAAGAUUCAUUCUGUUUGUUUCCUGAGAAAUUAGGGGAAACAGCAUGUAGUCUCGGCUGCUAUCGUAUAUUUUUCACUGUUUCGGUUCAGCUGUUAAAAGUGAAAAAACCUUUUCUAACCAGUCUGUGGUUUCAUUAUGUUAAAUUAGUGGCUAGCUGUCAAUAAAAAUAUUUCCAGUUUUUCCAGUUUUAACUUGUAUAUCUGUGAUAUAGAUAUCAACAUGGCGAAGCAGAGGAUGUUUACCGGCUGUGAUUGAUGUUACAGCUUCGAUCAUUGAAGUUCAACAGAAGGAUCCUUUGUACAGGUAACUCUUUGUUCCCAGUCUCGGUGAGCCGAUGCCCAAGGUCCUUCUGUUUUUAAACGGGUAGCUUGAUUCAAAUGGCCUAUGCCAGUUCUUUAAAUUACAAUGGCCAUGCUAGUUCUUCUCUUCCGUGAGGCUGCGAUGCUAUGUUAUUUCUUUUUAUGGAUAAAAAGAAAAGGUUUUCUGCUGCCGGGAUUUGAACCUGGAUUUCCUGUAUAACUUGAAAUUGCCAAUGUGCCACAGCAGACUUAUUGACAACUCUUUUCAAGUGUGAUGCUAUGUUAUAAUUGUAUAUUUUUGGAAUCCAUAUUUUUGUGUAUUCUAAAAGUUUCAUUUUUUUUUCUUUGUAGAAAGGACUUACCUGAUGAUGCUAUACAUUCCGAGCAAAUGUUGGCAAUGCUAUAUUGUAUGGCUAUCUUGAGGUAAAUUGUUCUUGCAUUCUUCUUCCUUUUCAACUAGAAUCUCAUCAUUCUCUCUAGCCUUGCUGUUGUACUGAUGUAAUAAUAGCGUAUAUGUAUUUGUAAUUUACAAGUAUUUUUCACGUGGCUUCUUUUUUGAUAUAUUGUAUGGAAAUCUUGAGGUAAGAACCAGGAAAGCUGGGCCAGGAUAGUUAUGAAGAUGCUGGAGCAAAACAUUUUGGAAAUGGAUUUUGCUAAUAUAAUGGAAAUUAGAUAUAGAGACAUAUUAACCCUAUUCACCUAGAAUAAUUUGAAACAUGCUGAUGCUGUCCAUUAAUUGCAUAUCCUCAAUUUUCGAAAAUUUCUAUUCAUUUUAAGAUAUGCUGAAAUAUUUUGCAACGAAAACACUUGUCAUUUAUCAAGUUGGAACUAACGGCAUAUAAUUCAUUUGGAUUCUUAUAAUUAAUCCUGGUUUCUGUGUAACUUUCCUAGAAAUUAGGACAGUAUAUCUACAUCAAAGUUUUAGAGGCCUUAUGCUUAAAGAUUGUAUUUGGUUAUGUUGCCUUGUUUUGUAUAUGGAUGCAAACAUAGAAUUGCAGUAAGGAAAAAUAGCAGGCUCACAUUGCCAAGUGUUGUUACUGAAGGCUUGUAAACUGUGUUGUUGAGAAGACAAGGAAGAAAACAGAGGUGUCAAUUGCUGAGGCAGCUGGUGCAAUAGGUAUUCCACGCACGCUGAUCGACAUUCGUCAUGGUUAGUGUUUUCUUUGCAUAAGCUAGUUGCUCUAUAUCAUUGGUUUUAUUAGCAAAGGAGAAUCUUAACUUUGGCAAUUCCUGCAUAUGUUUUUUGGUAUCUACAAGUGCAGUCAUUAAGAAUCUUAAACUGUUUUUGGGAUUAUUUUCCAUGAAUUCAAGUUCUUUGAUGCUUGCUGAGAAUUUUUCUUUUCAGGCAUGUUGCCCUUUUACUGUCCACUUGAAGGAAACGAUUGAACACUUACAUAAUCCUUGAGGUUUUUGCUAAAACUACUCUUGUGGUUGCAAGUCCAAGACUCUUGACCAGUGUACCAAGAAAUGAAACUUAGUCUGUCCUAUUUGCGUCCCUACUCUUCCUCUUUCAAUUAUCUGCAAUAAGUCGUCAUCAACCUAUAAGCCUCCAAGUUUCCCUUAUUAUCACUAAAAUCAAUCCCUAAAAUUCACCUUAUUGUUACAUGAUAUUAAUUCCAUCAUUUUCCAACUCUUUCUCUACUAAUUAAGCCACUCGAAUAAACCAUAAUCUCGGUGCUAUGUUGAUACCUUGAGAAUCUUAAAAGCAGAAUCUAGUAUCAUCCAGUAAAAGCAAUUCAUUUGCCUUCAAUCUCAGUCAUCAAUGCAUUUCAACAUUAAACUGUAAACCUCAAUUCUUAUAUCCUGACCCCUAAACUCCUCAUUUUAACCAAGUUAACUCACUGCAAAUACGCAAAUUCUUGUUGGUCCAAUCUAUUCCAUAUCAACAGCCAGCCUGCACCCCUCUUCCUGAUCCACAAACAAUGAUCUAGCGUAAAGUACUUGAAUAUUUGUAUACAUGCUAGCAGAGCUUUUGUAAUUUUGGUGGCAGACCCGGUGGAUAUCUCAUUAAUUUGCGGUGAAAUAUUCUUGAUUUUUUUUUGCUGGACUGAAUCGAGAACUCUAUUGUCUUUUCUUGAUGUUGCUUUGAUUGUAGAGGGUUCUCACCGUGAUCUUCCUGCUCUCGCACUUGUUCGGGAUUCUGCUGUUAAGGUAUAUUGUCCAUGCAAGUUUCUGUAAUCUAUAGCGCAAUCCUUUAUCCUGAGAUUCUUUUCUAACAGUUUUGCAUUUAAGUCUGAUAAAACUCCUGUUUCAAUGUUUUAUGAUUUUUUUUUGGAAAAUUGUUGGACCAUGCUUCCACAUGAUUAUUUAACUAACAAACCAUGUUUGUUUUUGAAGUCUGUAAAAGUUAACUUACAACAUCUGCUGCUGAAAAUUUCAGGCAAUUGAUUGGUUGAAAUCUUAUUAUUGGGAGCCUCAGACAAAGCAGAUUCCAUUCCAAAGAGAUGGAAGUGCUGACAUCAGAAAAGAAAUCAAAUCUAAAUUCUGUGAAUUAGCAUCCUGCUUGAAAGUUAAGAAGAGUACCCAACCUGGUUCUUCAGCAAUCAAAGCAAAACGUGCGUAUGAAAUUUUAGUUUCUCUCCUUGGACAUUAAAAGGCCAAUGCAAUUUUAUUUUUCUCCCUUUUGAUGUUGCCAGGCCUUAGAAUAAUGUGAUUCAAAAUAAGACUUCAUGACCAAAUAUUCAUGAAGGCUUAACAUGUUUUGUGACUGGUUAACCAGCAUUCCACUGCAUUUCCCUUCCAUAGAAUAAAGAACUUGUUAUUCUAAGACUAAACAUAGAGAAGGGCAAAUCCCUCUUAACAUGAGGAGGAUAGCUAAAACAAGGAAAUCAUAGUGAGUAAAAGAGGGGUCUUGUCAAAUUAGAUGUAGGCGUAGAUGCUGAUGCUGAUAUUAGUAUUCAUCUUAAUUCUCUUUGGGAAUCUGUUGUCCAUGCAGCAUGUUUGGUUUUCAUACCUACAAGAACAUUGGCUCUUUUUUUUUUCACCACUAUGUAUUCAGUACAUGUUCUUUUUUCCUUUGUCUGGAAAGAUUAAUUCUUGAAACAGUGAUAUCUUGGCCCGAGUCAUGAUGUGUUAUCCCAUUCCACAAUUUUUUGCCAGUUCAUAAAAAGCAUGAUUUGUUCUUAUCUGGAAUUGUUACUGAAAUUGAAUGUAAACUUAUGUAUUUUUUUACUCAUCCCAAUGAGGACAUAUCAAUUUUUGGUUAUAUGAUUUUCAAAUGCUUAUUUAAUCGCUCCCACUAUAGAAUUUCAAUCUUAUUGACCGUCAGCCUUUGUAGGUGGCAGAUGUUGUGAACAACUUUCUGGCCAUAUUAAGUUUUUCUCACUUGUGUCCAGCACGCUAUAUUCAUCCAAAUCUAGGGGUGAGAUGAUAUGCUCCAAUUAUUUUUAAGAAGUAAUAAAGGCAAAGUUCAAAUUUAUGGUUCUUUCAUUCUUGAUAUUUCUUGGUUGCGAUAUAGUUCAUUAUGAACACUUAGUGAAGAACUUUUGAGGAUAGUUUUUGAUGUUGUAGGAAUUCUCACUGAUACUGUUUGAAAUUUGGAGUCGUGGCUAAUGCAUGGAAGAUGACCCAAAUAUCUGCACACACAAGUUAUAUGUAUUUGCUGAUGAACUUCUUUCUUCAGGUUCUAAGAAGAAUAUUACCAAGACUUUGAAAAAUCUGGUUCGUCUAUAUUCUUCCUUCUCCUCAGAAGUACUGUCAGUUUUGUUGGAGUUCUUGCUCAAGGCUUUGGAUUCCUCAAAUUUGGUGGAGCUUCCAAAAGAUUGCCUAGUUGGCGAAGGCGUGUGUACUUUGUUGGAUGAUUGGAAGCUUGUAAUAACAAAAUUCUCAAAGAAGGAACCAGAAGUACUCCUUAUGCUUCUUAAGGCUGUUCUAAAUAUGAUUGAUACUCACGAAGCCAUGAAAUAUGAAAUGGGUAACCACAAACUCAGUCCUCCUGUGUUCCAUAGCUAUUGUUUGCUUAUUCUUUAGGUCUUGUUAGGAUAAUCAGAACCUUUAGUAGUUGUUAACUGCUAACGUUCUCCAUUUUCACCGUGCUUGGGGUUAAUAUUUUUUUGUUUGUUCACAAGAAGCACAGAAAUAGCACUACUUCUAUAUUGGUUUAUUAGCAAGAAGUUUCAGAAGAUAUAGGUUUAGUAACAGAUAUUCUCUCCAAACCUUCAACAAAAUUCCAAAUGCUAGGGCUUUCAGCUAGCUAUAAUUUGGCGUCAACUUUCAAUAUGCAUUUUGUUUUUGCAUUUGAAACCCACUUGUGAACUUUUCUUCGUUGAACCAACUUUUGUGAUCAUCAGUCUUUAUUUGAGCUAGUGAAUUAGGCAUGCCCAACCUCAUAUUUGUUGAACUCUUUUCAACCAGUUUAUGAGCUAUAUCUGAUUAACCAUGUAAGUACCUGGUUUACAAUGAAUGCCAGCUUGAUGCAGAAUGACAUAUAGCUGCCUGUACAUGAUAGCUUCAAAAAGGUUCAAUGCAAUAAUAAUCACAUAAAUGGUUUUGAUUUAAUGUUCUCUUUAUUGACCUUUUCUGAAAUCUUGUUUAGGAACACAUCUCAUAUCAUGGGAGCAGGGAACAGAGAAUCGCCAAAUUGAUCGACUUUCUUCCUUGUUUGCAUGGCUUGUUGGACAACUCAAGGGACUAAAGCCUCUUCGCUGUAAACAAUCUGCAGCUGAAAGCUUAGCCUCUUCAAUAGGAAUGAAUUUAUCCAACGCAAUCCUGAUGGAGGUUCUCCGAAAAUGCCUUCUGGUGUUCUCAUAUGGCAAUAAACAGCUUAUGGGUUCUGCACUGCAUCUUGCACAGUUGAUGGGUGAUAGCUCUGUGAUGGAUAAACUCAAAAAACUAAGUUUGCUAGCUUUAUCAGACCCAGAGGUUACCCAAGAGAAGUCUCCUCCCCUGAGUUUGAAUAGCUUUCUUACCCAGCAAGAUCAAUCUAUCCAUCAGGCCACCAAGAAGCUAGACUUUGUAAAACUUUGCCGAACAAAGAGUAAAGUUGCUAAGAGAACAGAUGGUGAUGUGGGUAGUUCAGGCAGAUGGAUUGUGGCAAAAUCAUGGAACCCAUGUCCAAUUGGCAUGUUGCCUCGUGACCUUGGAUCUUCUGGCUGUCUUCCUGUUCUCGACUGUGAUGACGACGGUAAAAAGUCUGUGCAUGCAUCAGAAAGGAAGCAGAUCUGGGAACUGAAACAAUGUAGCAUAAGAGAACCUAGUGGUGAUAUUCCUUUAUCAGAUUACACUAGUGUCGAGAGGACUGGUAGCAAGAGAGAAGCUGAUUCUGAUAUUUAUCUAUUGGAUAAAGCAAGUGUUAAGAAGAUGAGAGAGACAGCAGACAGUUUUGAAUCAGAGGGCGAGAAUGUUUUGUUGUCAAAAGAUGACAAAGGUUGUCUAAUGAUAAAUGGGGUUUGGAAGAAAGUCGGGGAAGAAGAGCUGCUUGCUAUUAUGUCUGAUGUGAGGAUUUUGGUGUAGAAGUCCCCAGAAUAACAUUUUUGAUUUCUUUAUGGUGCCCUAUUUACUCAAUUUAUUCUCAUUGAUAUUCAUCUGCAACCCUUUAACAACCUCAUUCUUAUGGGAAAUGAAAUUACUGGAAUUUACGCAAAGCAGCUGGCAUGGCUCAAACUGGUUUCCAGGCACUCGGCACGCUCUUAUUACUCCUGUCUAAAGUGAUAAAUUUUCAAUGGGAGUGGAGCAUGCUGCGAGGAAACAUGGCCUAGCAUCAACUUUGAUAUUUUCGUGAUGCAUUUUGUUCAGGUUUGUUCCCAUCAUUCUUGUAAACUGCUUUCAGCUAUGUCAAGGUAGGUCUGUACUCUGCUGUCAGUGUGAUUGCUCUUAUCUUGUUCAAGGUGCCGCAUUAGCAACACAACAGGAGCAUAACUUUUAGAGCAAAAAAAUAACAAGAGCUUGCAUUGCCAUACCUGUCCAUUUGCGUAAAAGAACAACUUAAAAUCGAAAAUAGCACGCCUUGAGUUUUUGCUUUCAUGGGUCUCACAUACCGACUCUUUUAGCAUUCCAUCGCGUGGAUUGUGAAUAUUGAAAUUACUUGUUUAUACUGCUGUUUGAUACUUUCCAAUUUUUUAACAAGAGAGCAGCUCUUAGAUGCUGUAGCUAGACAACUAGAAGUAAAAAAACACUCGAGAUAUUAAUAACGUCAAAAAAACAUACUUACAAAAAAUACAAGGAACUAGGCGAAGAUCCAAUGGUACAAAGCACACCAUCAGAGCUGGGCCCACCACUGAAAUGUAGUAACUAGCAUAUGGAGGAAAGCCCGGCAGGGGCGACCUGAGAACACAUGUUGCUCAAGAUAACCCAGGAGGGUGCAGCCCACAUGUGAUUUCAGGUCGCUCCUGUAGGAAUCCUCCACGAUCGGACGCCUCUGUGUCUUCCGUUUGCUCAACUUCGGUAAUGAAUGCCGCUGGGGCUUCAUUCCUUGUUAUAUAGCAAGAAAAACCCAGUACUUCCUUUCAAAUGUACUCCACGGAGUCACCAUAUUUGGUAGUACUUGAUGUGGAUCUUUUAAUUGAAUUAUCAUACAAUUUGUACUCCCUGAUCCAGCCCCAUUGUACUGCUAUGGAGCAGCAAAUGGGCAUAAUAUUGUUGUAGGAAGGCUAAUGAAGGACGCAUGGUUUUAGUACACAGUUGAUUGGGGGUCGUACAGAAGCAUGAUUAGCACAAAAACCAAGAAAGCAGUACAUCUGUACGUCACGUGUAUAUCAUGGAAGGAAUCGUUCACGAGUAUUGGAGUUUGGAAGAAAAUUCGCCCUGUAUUAGUACCAUACCAAACUUUGUUGUUUUCUUACCAUUAAGAAAAGCAAAAAACUCAUCUUUCAUAUUGAAAAAAAUAAAGAUUAUAAAUAUUAUGUUUGUUUGCUAUUAAAAAACUCAUCUUACCACUUUUUAGAUAAUUAUUUUCCAAAUUUUUUAAAAUAUUAUUAUUUUAAUUUCUUCAUCUUUCAAUUUUUUAUUUUUUAGAUUUGAUUUCUAUUAUUUUGAUUAUUAUUUAUUUUAUUUGAAUAAUUUAUGAAACUAUAUAUUUUUUUCAAUUUCAUUCUUAUUCAACUUUUUAAUUUGUAAGAUUUGUUCCUUAUUAUUUUAAUAAACUUGAAAAAAUAAAACAUUAAUAAGUUAUUUUCCAGCUUAUUUUCCAUGACAUAACCAAACACUGGAAAAUAUUUUUUAAUUUAUUUUUUAUUACACUAUAAAAUAUCGAAAAAUAAUUUAUUUUUUCAGAAUUCAUUUAAAAAAAAUAAUACGUAUUCAUGAGGUUUAAUAGUAUGUAACAUCCUUUUGUGAUCAUCACACACUAAAAGCUAAAAGCCUGUUUCUUUGAUGGUGUAUGGAAUGGCCAUAUAUUUAGAAGUUUAGGAUUCAAUAUGUAUCCAUCAAAAAUUAAAUACAUGAUCGAGAUCUAGACUGAUUCUUUGAAUAUUAUUACAAAAAAAUACCUUGUAUCUUUUGAAUUAAGCUGUAACAUUAAAUGUUUAAGGGGUUGUUUGGUAUCAUUUUAGUAUAACUUAAAAGGUUUUGAAAUUUCUCAUAGUGUGCGGCUGCUACUGUCAACAUUCUCAUGCAAUUUACGCAAUAUUUGAAAGUGCCCUUGUCGUUCCUCUACAAGUUUACACUCCCACUAGUCAGGUUCUUACAAGAGAGAGAAUAACAAUAUUGUCUUUCCCCUAACAAUGUCAAAAAUAAAAUUCCCUUUAUCUCCUUGUUUUAGUACUUCAUAGAUAAUAUUAGUGAUGGUAACGGUUUCCAUGAAUUGAGUUUUUUUUUUUUCAUUUCCUAUCCAUUAAUUACUCAUUGAAUAAAAAAUUCAAAUAUUUAUAUAAAAAUAGCAAUUUAUAUACUUGAAGCAUAUAUAUAUAUAUAUAUAUUAAAUGAUAAAUAUCACACACACGUGCACACAUAUACAUGCACGCGUGCAUGUUAUUUCAAUAUUAAAAUAUAUAUAUAUAUUAUAUUAGAUAAAAAUACAUAAAUAUUUUACAUAUAUGUCUAUAUAAUAUAAAUAUAUAUCGAGUUAGAUUUGGAUUAAGUUUCAGAUGGAAUUUAACAAUAUUUAUAUCUUAUUUAUUAAAAGUAAAUAUCCAAAAAAAUAAAUUAGGAUCGGUAUCCUAAAUUGCCUUUCCUAAAUAAUACAUUUAAUUAAUAUUAAAUACAUGAAAAAACAGACGAGUAGAGUCUAUUCUUUGAACACAGUCUUGACCCGUGUCGUGUCCAGCCAACCAUUGACUAUUAUCUAGGUUAGUGAUGGAGCAUGCAAUUUCUUAUUAGUUUUUGAAAAGAAAAAUUGCGGGUCUUAAAUUACUCAAAGACUCUACAACAAAUGGAGGGAUACCGCUAACCCACCUACUGGCUCUGCGUUACAUGCUAUUAUAUAGUUGCAGAAACCUUAAUUGAUGUAGAAACAUGGGCUUCAGAAGCAUACGAAACAGCACUAAAAGACCUGAUAUAAAAAAAUUACAGCCUCAGACCUCUUAGGUACACCACAAUCAAUGAAUUUUCUAAUGCUUCGACAGAGCUUGGCCCAUGUUGCUGUCUCUUCAAUGGCGAAAAGAAGACGAGAUGUUCCUUCGUCCCGAAAGUAUUUUUUGUCUUCCAGGCCACCCAUCACCAAAGAGUAUCCUUUUCCACCUUUAUCUUUUUCAAUAAAAUCAAAAGGCUUCAUAAAUAUGGCAUUAUUGCCUCCCCUCACUCUCAUCGGAUUUCUCAAGCAUCUUCAAACUUGCUUUCACUAUGGUAUGAGACUUCAAAGAUGAACUUGAUGAAUAUGCUAUCCUCGGAGAACUACUGGAUCGAUGCAUGGGAUCCACUCUUAUCCUCGGAGAUCCUUAAAGGAAGAUAGAGGACUCCUGUCCUCUAUAUAUGGGGUACGAUCCCUCUUUUUUUAGAGACAACGCCAUGAGAGGUAAUGAUUUGAAAAUCCAAGAUGCAAAUCUAUUUUCUUUUUAGGAAUAUGUUGGCUUAGAUCCUUGCAUGUGCAUUUCCAUGAUGUCACGGAGAUUAUAAGAUUAUAAGGUGUUUCAUUUCUCUUUUUGGCUCCAUUAAUUGAUCAUAUAUAUAAAUUAUCCAAAUUGGUGGCUAGCUAAUUAAUUGGUGCAUAGAAUAACCAUGCGCGUCCCAAAGAGUGGGAUUUUUUAGGAAUCUAGGUGAAUAAAAAUUUUAAAACAUCUUUUGAAUUUGUUUGUUUGUUUUUUCUUUUAAAUUACAAAUAAAAUCAAAAGAAUUAAUUUGUUUGUUUAUUAUUCCUUUUUAAGUAAAAAUCGGAAUCAUUACUAUAAUUGUUUUUUUUUCAAACAACUUUCUUCAAUUUUAAAAAAUUGUGAUUUUUUGAGAAUUAAACGAUUUUUUAACUUUUGAAACCAGUUUUUUUUUUUAAAAAAGAAAAGUAGAAACGCAAAAUGAUACGGAUAUUUUGAGGGAAAUAUUGCCGUAUACAUCCAACUUGUUAAAUUAAUACUUUAAUUCUAGAAUAAAAAAAAUAUAAUAUCUUUUACUCAAGGAUGUUUUGAUAUUUUUAUUUUUUAAAAUAGUAUGAUUAUUUUAUGCCUUUAAGACAAACACUAUAACUCUCUCACAAGGACUUUUUAAUUAUUUUACAUUGAUUUUAUUGUAAAAUUGAAGGUUACUUAUCAUAAAUAUUAUUAUAAUUGACAUAUAUUAAAUAAUAUUUAAAAAUAAAACUUUUUUUCGUGUAACACACGCGCCAACAUAUGGACAGUUUCCGUACCAUUUAAGUGGCACAUGAGAGGUUUUUUGACCACCAAAUACUGUCUUCCAGUAUGACGUUUGGAAGAACUCAGUGUCCUCUGUAAGAUGUAAUGACGUGUGUGCCAGAAAUAUCUAUAGUUUGGCUCUGCUAACCUUUUUUUCUUUCUUCUUCUCUCUCUUUUUCUUAAAUUUAGCACAAACACCUUCAAAAUUUCAGACCAUCUAAUUCAAUUUUUUUUCUUCAUAUUUAUUCCAUGUCCUUUUGAUUACUAUUUUAUUUUUUAUUUUUGAAUAAGCUAUAAAAUUAUAAUUUUUUUUUAAAUUUCACCCAUACCAUUUUUUUAUUUAUAAAUAAUCUAUCAAAUCAUAAAUAUUUUUCAAUUUUACUCCUCUAUGAUUCUUUAAUCUUUCAAAUUUGGUCUUCAUUCAUUUGAUUACUAUUUUUUUUUGUUUAGGAUCAUUUAAUUUUUUUUUUCAAAUUUCAUCAUCUUUUGUUUUUUUUUCCAUCAAAUUUUAUCCUCAUUUUUUUGUUGCUAUAUUUUUUACUUUUGCAAGUUUUAUUAUUAAUAUUUUUUUCAUGAUUUCAUCAUUUAAAAUUAAAUUGAUUGGGAAUUAAACUUAUUGAUUGAAACCAUGUCCAAGAUUUCACGAGUUGUGAGUUUUAGAGAUUAGAUAAGGUUUAAGUGGUUCGUCCAGGUUUUUUUUUUCUUCCUUUUGUUAAGCUGAAUUUUUCUAAUUUUUUUUUGGGUUUUGCUUUGUUAUUUUUUAUGAUUUUUUUUUUGGAGUUAGUCCUGGAUUCAUGACCAAGAUCAUUGGUUUUAAAACUAGUUAAUGCGAGUUCACUUUUUAUUUUUUUUAUUUUUUAAAUUGAUUGAUUUCAAUUUUUUCCUUCAAAUUUUUUUUCAUAAUUUUCUUUCUAUGAGAUCAUCCAAAUCUUAUAUCCAUGGUCACGAGGUUUGCGAGUUCACCCAAUUUAAUAGUUUUUUUUUAUAUAUACUUUCACUCUUCAAUAUCGAGUUGUUUGAUAAUCCGAAUAUGCUCAAUUUUUUUUUUGUUAAUUUUUUGAUCAAUUUAUUUAUUAUUUUUUUUCUUCAUAUUAUUUAACUUUAUUAGUUAAAGUAAUGACUCGGUCUAAGAUUUUUCUACCCCUAAUAUUUUCUUUUACAUUGAAAUUUUUUUCUCCCAGCCUUCAUAGUAGCGCUGACAACAAAUAUAGUAACAACUAUGUAAAAUCGUACCAAGAGUUUCCAUAUAUUUCUUCUCUCUUUUUUUCUUUUAAUUGGAAAUUUCCACCUACUAAUCUUGUAAGCGAGUACUCUGUUUUAUACUAAAUUAAUAGCCUGAUGAUAUCUUCUAAGAAUCUGAAAAUCAACCUACUUUUACAGAAAUCCCCUCUGUUUCUUCAUAAUUCAGCAUUGCUCAAAGUCACAUGUUAUGCAUUUAGAUUUGUGCUCCUAUAAGACAAAGAACUAGCCCCGCCCGCCCGCCCCCCCUCUCUCUGAUCACCCUUUGUGGUGUGAAAAGGGCAAAUUAUGUUGUGGGUCACAUGGAGAUAGAGAAAGAUCAUGUGAUGUAAUCCAUGGCAUGUCCACUGCAAAUUCUGAAUAUAUUGAAGAGAGAGAGAGGUCAUAAAUGGGAUAGAAUCUUGUUUAUUAUUGAAUUCCAGAAACUGGAACCUUGGAGCUCCAAAGAACCACCCCUGCCUCCGAGGUUUCCUAUCUGGAAAACCAACCAAUCAUUUCUUUACAAGCAUGCAAGAGGGGCUACAGCUUGCUUGCUUUGUGUAUCAAAAUGGAUCCACCAUGGCAUUUAUUUUUCCAGGCAUGUCCAAUCCCUGGAAAUGGAGUUAUCAAGAAAAGCAACACGUAAAAAGAAAAGAAAAGCAAAAAUCAAAAGAACCUUUUCCCUUUUUAAAAAAAAAAAAAAAUUCUUUGUUUUUUAUGUAUAUAUUGAAAGGAAAAGGAGAAACAUUCGCUAUCUAUUUUCUGUUUCUGGUAAGCAAAACAGAUUAGACUAAUUUAUUUCAAUGUGAUUACAGUUAAUUUCAUUGGAUUUAAUGUACAAUUUGCAGCAUAUAUAUUACUUGCUCGUAGAUCGAUCAGUCAUUUACUUCCAUGCCAGUACGUAGUAUUCGCAAUAAAAAUGAUAUUAUCGGCAUCAGAACAUUUCAUUCGCAACUAUUUGUUCAGUCCUCCGAGCAGUAUAUAAAAACAGAGAAAAAAAAAAAAUCUCACUUAUUUAUUUUGUAUAAAUAAGUGUCAUGAUGUGUAUAAACAAAGACCAUUCGAAUUAUAAAGGAUACAUAUUAGUGCUGGAUUUAGCUAUGAAGACUCAAUCAAAGUAUAAGUCUUGAACGCUAGCUUAUAUCAAUUGUAAGAACCAUAAAGUUCUUAAUUAAUUUAAAUAAUUGUGUUUUUGUGCUGAAUAAUCGGCCAAUAAACUUAGAGGUUUACUCCAAUGCCGAGCAAAAACUUAAUUAGAGAUUUAUAAUUAAGUUAUGGAGAGUAUGAAUCGAGGGAAUUGUACUUCUUGAAAUCAAUUUCUAACUAGGAAAAAUACUAAGUCAUUAAUUAAUGUCCAAACCAGAGAAAGAAACAAGAACCCUAAAAUAAGACUUUUAAAUCCUUUACAAAAACUUAAUACAAGAAUCUUAAGCUAGGAAAUUCAUGAAGUCUUUUAAAAUAAUCUUUAUCAUAAAACAUUCCAGGUUCAAAUUGAAGAAGUGCAGAACAACCGUGCAUAGCCGAGCACUCUUCCAUUGAAUAAGUUCUGUACACGAACAUAAUUUGAAAUAAAUGAUUAAAGUAGAGGAAUGUUCCGACUACACACACACACACACACAUAUAUAUUCCUAUUAAUUAUAUUUUCAUUAAAUAAUUAAUGGGGGGGGGGGGGGGGAGCUUCAGCUCAUGUCGUUAUAUAUCUUGAUCUCUCGUAAUAAAUUUUUAACAAGCUAGCUCUAGGGUGUAUUGUCCAAGGCUUAUCUGGAAAAAAACAUAAAUAAAUAAAAGCCUGUGAGUGCCAACUUGCUUGCCUCCCUUCGCUGAUCACAUGCAUAACAAGCCAGAAUUCAUAGCCAAGUUGAAAACCCUUUUGAUUCAUUAUUUCAGAGAAUACAUAAUUACGACUUCUGUGCAAUCACAGAUUAAAUAUAUAACUAGGGCUUCUCGAUACAGCCUUUUUUUUAAAAAAAAAGUUUUGAUUCACUGGUCACUGGUGAAUGUAAGACUCCAAUAAAUAGAAUAUAUAGUGUUCCUUGAUGACAGCAAGGGUUAAAGAUUCAGAGAUUCAAAAUAUGUAUUCGCAAGCUUCCAAGUUUCAGUUCUAGAGAAGAAUAUAAUGUCCCUCCUAGGGUGGAGGAACCAUAUCUUAACAUCAUUAAUAUAUAUUUGGGCACUUCACCUUUUCUAAUUUCUUAAUUUUUUGUAAGGAAUAUCAUAGCAAAAACCUCCAAAAAUUCUUUUCUGAUACUAAGAGAAGUUGCUAUAUUGUAUGGCAGCAUGGGUUAUAUGGUACUGAACAUCAAAUAGGAACAGAUUUGUCCUUGCAUGUAAAGACAAAUGAUUCUAAACCAUCAUUUGGGUGUGCCCUAAUCAAAGAAAAGCUCACGAGCUCAAGAUGCAUCUUCCUCCACUCACUUCAAAAAAAGAAAAAAAGGAUGCAUCUUUCCCCACCAGCUAGCUGCUAAUAGUACUGCAGCCAAGGCGCAAAGGAACAAUCAAUAGCUAAUUAAGAGCUCAUAUUGGAUCUUAUAAUUAUAGUAAUUCGAGAAAAGUUCAAUACUAUAAUUUACUGACAUGGUCAUAUGCUUCUUAAAGUUAGAAACUACGAUGAGAGAGAAAGAGAGAGCAAAGAGUGGCUUUUAUUUUAGUGACAUGGCCAUAUGUUUCUGUUGCAUAAAGUUAGAAAAUUAUAAUGAGAGAGAGAGAGAGGAGCUUCUUUAAACACAUUGGACUUGCAGUUGUGAAUAUUGAGGGUAAAAAUUGUACUUGUAGAAGUGCAUAUCAUCUGCUUCCUCUAGUUUAAUUCCCAGCUGAUAAUGGCAUUUACAGUGGAUAGGUGUGAAGAGAUGGUGUUUACUGUGGAGUCUCAAAAGGCAGUUCCUGCACCCUUCUUAACAAAAACUUACCAGCUAGUUGAUGACCCUCUUACAGACCACGUUGUCUCUUGGGGUGAUGAUGAAACCACCUUUGUUGUGUGGAGACCUCCUGAGUUUGCUAGGGAACUCCUCCCCAAUUACUUCAAGCACAACAACUUCUCAAGCUUUGUCAGGCAGCUCAACACCUACGUGAGCAUCUCCCUCUCUCUCUCGCCCUCUAUCUCACUCGGUCAAGGGUACUUCUAGCUAAAAUCAUCUCUAGAGUUACUAAUUAAUGAGCAGCAAGGUAAAAGCUGUGCAAACUAACAUGGCUGCUUUUAUGGCUGCUUUUCCAGGGAGUUUCUUAGUUUUUCCAAGUAGGGUCGCUCUCAUUUUAGAUAACUUGACAUCUACCUGUAAUUUUACUCAAAAUCUCUUCAUCCUAUACCACUCUUCUUUUGAAGAUCUUAAGCACUAUAUAUGAUCUAGAGCACCAAAAUACUGAAGGACGUAUCAAUCCCAGCUAACCAUAAACAUUCUGCCCAAGAUAUAGUGUUAGUAUUUAAUAUAUGGUAAUCCGUAUUAGAUGACAAAGCUUUCUAAAUAAACGUCCUUUCACGAAACAGGUUUAAUAUUUUUACUUGAGAAUCUUUCUUUACUUGUCUUUCUCUUAUUCUUCUGUUAAUACCUUGCAGGGAUUCAAGAAGGUAGUAACUGACAGGUGGGAGUUUGCAAAUGAGUACUUCAGAAAAGGAGCAAAGCAGUUGCUAUCUGAGAUUCACAGGAGAAAAACAAUAUCCCAGCACCAUCACCAACACUACCCUGACCAAGCAACCCAAUUUCUCCAAUCAGAAGAUCAUGGUUUUGGUUGGAUUGAUCCUCCAUUUCCAUCUCCAAAACCAAAUGUUGAUCAUAUCCUAACUGCCCUCUCAGAAGACAACCAGAAACUGAGAAGGAAAAACUGUAUGCUUUUAUCAGAACUCUCCCACAUGAAGAAUCUCUAUAAUGACAUUAUCUACUUCAUCCAAAACCAUGUAAAACCAGUGCCCAAUGAGCAAAAAGCUUACAAUACAGUACCCAAGCUUAUAGAGCCGGGUUCUUCAUGUCAAGAUCAAACCAUUUGUUUUGGCGUUCAAAGGGCUAAGAAUGGUGUUUUGGGUAAGCAUUCAUUAACAUUUAGUACUGAGGAAUCAUCUAGUCCAGUGAAGCUUUUUGGAGUCCCUCUCAUUGAUAACAAAAGGCUGCAUCCAGAAGCGAUUGAAUAGCAGGAAUGAUAUUGUAGUGUCUCCUUUAAUUAGCUUCUACAAUAGGAUCUAGAUGUUGUCAGUAAGAGUUAUCAGAAGAGGAGCUACAUAUGUACACAAGUAGCUGAAAGUUCAGUUGGAUUUAAGCCACUUCAUGUUAAUUAGCCGCAAAAGAAGAAAUUUCUUCUUUUUUCUUUUCUUUUCUUUUUUUCCCUCACAGAUCUGAAGCAAAUAUCGGCUUCUCCGAUAUUGAUAUUUCUACAAAUUAAGAACUAGCUAGAGUACUCUAUCAGCCUCGUUUUCCUUUUCUUCCAAAAUCCUUUAACUUUUCCUAAAUCAAAUAUUGGAAUAUAGCUGUUACCCUGAAGAACUACAUGUUACGUACACUAUAUAUUAAGAGCAGAAGAAAAAACUUUCAAUGUGUUAAAAAAAACUAAGUAUAUGAAUGGUAAUGUAUUAACUAAGCGCUUAAACUCCAAUUAGUUUUCUCAUCUAAACCUAAUCACAUAUACAGGACAUCGCUGCCUUAAUUAUAUAUAUAUUCUUGGUCAAUGCUCUAUAGUAAAUUCACAAGGGCAUCUAGCUCCCAAAGAAGCUUUUUAUUGCCUGUUCUAUUUAUUAACUGUCUUCCACGCAAAGAAUGCUUGUCUGUCUUCAUCUCUCUCGGGAAAAAGAAACGCUAAUGUCAAUAAAGAAACAUGAAAUAUUAGUUUCACGAUUUACUCAAGCUUUUCUUUGGAAUACUGUACCGUGCAGAACGUCUUAAAGUAAGUGAAACAAGAAAGAAAUAUUGCAGCAGAGAGAAAUUAGUAUUUGGUCGACACUGGCCAUUGACCACUGAUUUAUUAUUCUUCUUCCUUUAAAAGGAGAAAAAAGAAGAAUGAAAGAGAGGGUUCAGAGAAUAUAAGUGGAGGAUGGAAUUGAGCAAUCAUGUCAUGCUUUAAGUUUGACAUUCAUGAUCAUGUGGAAUCUAGAGAUUUACCUUCAGUUUUUAUCUGAAAAAGAAGAAAAGAGGCCCAUUAAAAAAAAAGGUGAUGAAAAUAGUAACCCGUUUAGCCAUUGGCUUAGGCAAUGUAUAAAGAGAGGGGGGGAAAAGAAGAUUUUCGGUUAAAGAUUGCUUUGGGAUUGUUCUAUAAUGCGAUUCUUUGUCAUGCCUCGAAUUUGUUUCCCUUCUUCUUGUGUAAGCUUUUUUUUAGCCUUUUCAUGCUAAUGCUGCUUUCUCUUUCCUUUUUCUUUCAAGAACUUGAAAUGAAGCUUGCCUCGAUAUCCUUCUCUACUUUAAACAUAUAUGGUUAUGAGUACAUGUAACAAAAAAUUUGAAUCAUAAUUUUUCUAUAAUUCGGAGCUUGGAGGAUGGAGAUCCGAACUUGCAAGUUUAUUUUUUGGUGGAAAAGGAUUAGACUAUGCUCGAAUUUUGUGGAAUGAUUGAGGUAACAUUAUUAGUUAUAACUUACAGGUAGAUUAAGGGAUAAAUUCAAAUUGUGUCUCUGUAGUUUUGAUAAUUGAUCAUAUUAGUCCCUCUAUUUCAAUCGUAUUUACGUACGCAAUAUCUUUUUUUUUUUUUGUUAUUAUUCACAUAUUGUCUUUAUUCGUGUUUAUUCUAACCUAAAUUUUACCAAAUCGACGGAUGGAGUCGUGUCGUGUCGAAGGCUUAAAUCAAUUGGAAAAAAAUAUGGAAAAAUAUUCGCCUCAUAAAUACGUCUUCUCUUUGAGGUGUAUUAGGAUAUAGUGGUUAAGGUUGAUAGGGUUUCUUUGCUUUUCUUUUAAAUAAAAAGCAUUGGCUUAUAUUCAGAAAAUUAAUUAGUAAAAAUCUGUUCAACUUGAACCGAACAUGUUAAACAUUCGAUCCAACUACUCGGACCACAUAAUAUCUGGUCCAAAUUAAACUGUUUGUUAUUAAAUUUUUAAGCAUGUGGUUCGACACGAUGUGGAAUACUUUGCAUCUCGAGCGAUGCUAUUGAAGGGUAUUAGGAAGAGUUUUUGUUUUUGUAUUUAAAAAAUGUUUUUAAUUUUUUUUUUAAAAAAAUUAAUUAGUUUUUUUAUCAUAUUAAAUUAUUUCAAUGUGCUAGUAUAAAAAACAAAACUUAAAAAUAAUAAAAAUUAUUAUUUUAAUAUAUUCCCAAAAAUUUAUAUUUAUUUCUCAUCAAUCCUCCACCAAUAACGUGGUAUUAGUUUCCUGCAAGCCCUGCCACUUUUUCAAGUUACGUAAUUUUACGACAUCUGAAUAACUGAGGCCCGAACAAAUUUAUAUUUUCGGUCGCUGGAGAAGCUUAAAGGCCCAAAAUACUAACCAAGCUUUCCCAGUGAUGCAGCUAGUAAUUAGCCCAUAAUAGUAAUUUGCAAUAUCUCGUGCAAUCUUGUUUACCACUUAUUUUCUUCCUUAGCAAUGAGUUGAUCAUGCCAGUGAUGAAGAAACCGCAUACAAAUCAUGUUAAUCCUAGACUUUUUUGGACUGAUAGACUCACCUUCUCUAUUUAUCAAUCAUGGGCUGACUCAGUGAUCCAUAAAAACCUCGCUUGAUCUAGCAGGUAAAUCUAGCUGUUUGUCGAUCUAGAAUCGAAUCCAAAUCAAAUUUUAAACUUAACUAUUUUAAACCUAGUCAAUUCAGUGCUCAACCAGCAUCAUUCCUUGGGAAAACUACAGUGUGGGUGCCAAGAAAUCGGGGAAGGCAAAAUCUAACGUUGUCUUGUCAAAUUGUUGGAGUGUUUCUUAAGAUGGAUUUGGGAUCUGGGCUUGAAACUAACUCAAUUGAGUUUUAACUAGGACGGCCUUCAAUCUGAAUGGACUUGGAGUCAACAAUUUUUUUUUUCUUAAUUGGCUAGGGGGUUAGCGUCUUGGAAGCUCGUAUAGACCGCAUCUAAUCACUCCUCCCACUUUUUAAGACCAAGAAAAGAGGGGAAAUUUCUUACAGGAGGUCUCGAAGUGGAAUGGGAUUCAACAAUGGAGAAGAACUACUCUGUUAGCAAAUAGAAAUUUCUGAUUGGAGAUUCUUAUUGAAAUAUAGAUUCGGUGGCCUCUCGAGAUUUUUGUUGGGAAAUCUCUCUUCCAAUCCUAGAAGGAUGGAGUGGGAUUUAAUAACAGAGGAGAUUGACCUACAUCCACUGGGCCUCCGACAAGGAAAAGGAAAACCUAGAAAGCCCGACUAUGAGUUAGGUACGAUGGUCCUUUCCCACCCUUGUCAGAUGCUACUUUAAAGCAGCAUUCAUUCAUUGGUAUUUGGUACACGAGCGAUCACUUGUAUUGCCAAAAUGGGUGGGGUAGCUUAUUCAAAGGCUGAUGGGUUUGAUUGAUGGAUGAGAUGCUUAAACUUUAGGGGACAAAGCAUCAAAAGAUUAUGUACCUUAUGGAAAUCUUCAAGUAACUAAAGCAAAAGAUGCCUAAAUGCCCUUUUACCUCAUCUACGAUCCGCAUGAUGACACCUUCACCAUGUCUUUCUUUCCCACUUAUAUGCUAUUUGCUUCCUCAUCCAUGGAGAGUCUCGGCGAGAGGGAAAGAAGAGAAAAAACCACUUCCCUGUGGGGUAUGUCAUAUAUGCCAGCAGGAAAGAACUCGAGGCAAUCAAACUGGGUUUCUGUUCAGACAAGAUUCCUAGGGUUCAUGAUUUUCUUUUAUGCUACUUGGCUCAAUGCCACAUUGACACCGGUCUUGGUUUUGGAUGCCAUUGGCUAAAAAGAAGUUGGUGGUGUCAAGAUGUCAUGGUUUGUUCGAUCCCCACCAUUACCAUCAAUGGCUCUUUAUACCAUACCAGAAGAAAUGCUGCAAUUUAUACCAUAUCUAGUUUGACGUCAACUUGCUUUCAUGAUCUUGUGCUGUGUUUUUCUUUAAUAUCACAUUGCAUCACCAGCUAACCACUACUCCCACCAAUGAAAUGUUGCUUUUCAUGGUGUCAAUCUUGUGGCUUGGAACUCUAACUUGGUAGGUCUAACUUUAUCCGGCCACCACUCCAACUCCUUCGAGUUCUGUUAUCAAACUUUUUUGUCUGACCACUCCAUGAUCCACUCCAAAAAGCUCGAACCAACAAUUUGAUCGUCACCCAUUUGCUCCCAGUGGACACAAAUAUAAAACAAAUUAAGUACAUCAUGCCGAGGCCAUAAAAGUUGAGAUGUUAAGAAUACUUGUUUAUUAGAUCAUUAGAUGCUGGAGUCAUUGUAUAACAAGUGGUCUUUUAGGUAGAUAAACCCUAAGGUGGUGUCUCGGGCCUCUCCUGGUUCGAUGACAACAAGUAGCCUUGUGUUCUUAAUUAUAACUUUAGUUCCUGUCUAGGAUGCUAAUAAAGAAUAGAUGUAUUUUGUUCCUUGUGACCGUGCCUGCAGAAAGUGCAUUAGCCCUAUAGUUUUGUAAUUUCUUAGUGCCGACAUGAUUAAACAAAAUAUUUCAUUAUAUUUGCAACAUGCAAUUGCUGAUAGAGAAAGGAUACUCACUUGCAGCUCUGCUGAAAAAGACCUGAGAUGAACUGGUAGACAAGCUUCGUGCUUUAAGCAUCAAUUUUAUCUCAUCUGUUCUCCAUUAUGGAUCCAAAUUAUUAAUGUGUCAUCAUCAUAAACCCACACUCAAAGAUCAAUUUGAUAGAAAUAAGUCUUCUUUUUUUGUCCCGAGCUAUGUUCUAGUGGUCAUCUUGAUCUUGGUAUCUUACCCACCAUCAUCAUUAAGAAAUUCCCUAGGAUUCAUCAAUAAAAUACGUUAUUAACGGUCACCUGUUAACCCAUGUUCCUGUACUGUUUAAACAUGUCGUUUUUAAAGUGUGAUAAUGAUUUUAUUUUAAAAUGUUUUUUAUUUUGAAAUAUAUUAAAAUAAUAUUUUUUUUAUUUUUAAAAAAUUAUUUUUUAUAUCAGCACAUUAAAAUAAUUUAAAAAUAUAAAAAAUUAAUUUUAAAUAAAAAAUUUUAAAUUCUAAUCAAUUUUGAUUUGAAACGCAAGGGUUUAUAAUUGUAAAUUUUAAGAAAUGAGACAUUUUGUAAUUCCAAGAUUGUUGAUUCAUAAUGGUUUUGGAGUAUUUUGGGGAUUCUUAAUUUGGAUAAUAAAUAUAGCUGGGGAUAUUCGUUGUUGUGUAGUAAGAUUGCCUUCACAUCGUAUCAAAUCAGUCAGUUAUUGCAUUUGAAAAUCCUCAUUCUCGCAUGCAAUCUUGUAGCGGCCUGCUCUUCUCAAGUCAAAUUGAAGCUGAAGGUUUCAUAUGUUAAAACAAUGGGAGGAACACCAAAUUAAAAAAAAAAAAAAGCGAAUUCUAAUGCAGAAUGUUCAAAGAGUUGAUCUCACGUUGGGGGAUUUGUAUCCUGUUCAUCGUUGAAUUUUGACUUUUGAGAGGGAGAUGACGUUAAUUAGCUUAAUCUAAUUCAUUAUUAAGUCAAUUUCAGGAUUCAAACCCUUAAAUUGGUUGACCUAUCAAAUUUAAAUAGGUAAAUAAUAAUAACAGAGUAAACUAAAUUAGUUGAUAAUGCUGUACAUGAGUUCCAAUCGAUAAAAAAAAAAAGUGAUGCUAGUUGGUUCAUAUCUUAAUAUUACUUAAAAGUCAAUGAAAAAUAUAUAAUUCGGUUUGAUUUUAUAUUUUAAGGUUUUAUAGGUUGGUUGAUAAAUUAAUUUCUAGGUGCUGAGAGAGGGUGUUUAUAAAGUUUUUUUUGUUGUUAAAAUUAAUAGGUUAUAAAAUGGAAUUUUUGGGUAAAAUUAGGUUUGCUUUGAUUUUCUGGUCACCACAUCUAAGUAAACAUUAUCUGCUCUUAAAAAAAAAAGGACGGACAAUACCCCACUUAAAAAGAUUAAAAAAAGACCCAAGAGCAUAGGCCUAGGUCACCAGGGCCACUCGCCUGAGCUAUUUUUUUAAUAGACUCGGACACACUAAGCUUUUUUGUGGGGCUUUUUUUGUAAUUCUUUUUAUUCUUUAUUUAGGUACAAGAUAAAUUUUUUUAAAAAAAACUAUUAGAUCCAGUUAGAUCCUUAUCAUAUAUCACGGGUUCAACGUGUUAAGAUACAGUAUCUUAGACUUUUUUUUAAUACAGUUUCUCCAUUAAUUCAAAAAUAUAUAUAGUUUAGCCCUAUGUUAUCAUUAAUAUAUUUUUUUCAACUUAAAUUUUUUUAAAAAUGUAAUUUUAUCAUUUAAAUUAAAAAAAAAAUAAUGUCGAAUUAUCACCGCCACCACCUCAUUGUUCAUCUUUGAUUGGAACUAGAGAUUAAGAUAACUGGCUUCUGCCUAUUAAUUUCAUGAACAAUCUUUACGAACGAUAUGAGAGUGAUCCUUCAAGUUUCCCAUGGAGUAUUUGCAGGACGAAACUUGGGAGGUAAUGAAGGGCACCUUAAGGUGUGCGCAGGAUAAGUUGAAUUGCAACUACAAGGUAAGGGCAGCGGGGCGCUCCUUGCAAGCCUGCAUGCAGUAUCCUUCCUGCUCGAAGGUUGUCUUUCGGGAAUUGGAUCCUAGAUUUCUGUCACACUUGUUCUUUUUCUUUUUUUGGCAAAUUAGCAUAAAGUGGCAUCCGCCCCCUCAUGAUUUUCACGUGCGUGGCUUAAAAUCAAGCUUGUUUUUCUUAUUUUUUUUUUAAAAAAAUAUUUUGUUAAAAAUUAUUCACAUUUGUUAGUAACAUAUCACCCAGAAUAGCUUGAUACCCCUUUUAUUUUUUUCUUGAAGAAAAAUUAUUAGAUUUAUGUUUUUAAUGCAUUUUUUUGUGUUUGAGUAUUUUUUUUACAUAUGUUUUUAAAUAUUUUUUUUAUUUUUAAUUGACCUAUUUUCUCCAUUCAAUAAAAAAUAUUUUAGUUUCAAGUAAAAUUAUAUACAUUUUUUUUUCUAUUGUCUUUGAAUCUAAAAGCCAGAAUCUUGGAUAAAAAUAUUUUUUAUUUCAUUGUAACGUAAAUAAUUAUAUUUUGUUAUAGUAACAGUUUUUUUAGUUUUUUUUAUUUAAAAAAACUAUAAUAGUUCAAGUUAAAAACAUUGUCAAGAAUGACCACACAUGAGAUUACGUAUUAAAAUAACAGAAAAGAUCAUAAUGAAUUUUACUACAUCUUUAAGAGUAGUAAAAUAAAUGUGAAAAAUUCAAAAUAAAAAAAAUAUUAAAAAAAUAAAAAAAAUUAUACAAAAUAAAAAAAAAUUAUAUUUGCAAGGUUAAGCGCGUCUAAACAUAGAUAAGAGUGUUCAGAAUCAUGAAAGUAAUUGUUUUUUAAAAUGUUUUUCAAUUGAAAAUAUAUUAAAAUAUUUUUUUAUUUUUAAAAUUUUAUUUUUAACAUCACCAUAUCAAAAUAAUUUAUAAUUAUAAAGAAUUAAUUUAAAAUUAUAAAAUUAUAAAAUUUUAUUUUUUUUAAAUAAAAAACAAUACACUCUAGAUGUUGAUGGUGUGAUGUUCAAGUUUUCUUCUUUCUUGAGCUAACUGGGCCACAUUCUGACAAAUCUCGACGACAACAUGGCAAGUCACCAUUUUUUUUUCCAUUAAAAAAAUGCUUUUAAAUCCUUAUUUAAUAUUUAAAGUUUUGUUUAAAGGUUAAUUUUUUAAGUGUUUUUAAUUUGAAAAUAUAUUAAAAUAAUUUUUUUUAAUUUUUUUAAUUUUUUUUUAUAUUUACAUAUAAAUGAUUAAAAACAUAUAAAUAAUAAUUUGAAUUUAAAAAAAAAACUAAAUGCAUCUUGAUCGGCAAUGUCAAACUAAUCAUCCAAAAAUAAUUUCAAAAACCAGAUUGAAAUGGUUAAUAGAUACAAAAAAACAGGUUCAAAAGUUUUCAGAUUUAGACUCUCAAAUCGAUUUAAAAAAUUCAUGACAGUGAUAGCUUCAAAUGAUGGACAUUUUGAUCUAUGCGGACUGCGGUCGCCUAGAAAGUCAAUUUCUCUCUCCUCCUUUUAUUUUUAUCAUUAUUUUUUUAAUUUUCAAAUUUAAGACAUUAAUGGGUUUUUUUUAAUACGAGGAAUUCCUAAAUAAGAGAAGCAUAUUGCUUAUUUUGAAGUAUUUAUUUUAAUUUGCACGUUCUGGAUUCACUUAUACAAUCUGAUGGUGUGUGCGUUUUGUCAAGUGAAAAAACGACGUUAAAAAGUGGAAACGACAUUGUAAUACAGCGACACAAUAGUAAGAACCUCAUUUUUAUUAUAUAGUAUUCUAUUCUAUUAUAAAUAUUCAUAUGAUCUCUUUUUAUUUUAUUUUUACAGAGAUGACAUGAAUUGUUUCUCUACAGAAUAAUCAACACAGAUAUUAGAUUUUAUUUUGUUACAUACUUAUUUUAGAUUCCAUAUUAUAUAAAAAAAACACAGUUUUCACAGUUACAAUAACAAUAACAACUCAAUAUAAUAAUUUUAUCUUUACUAAAAAAAAUUAUUUUUAGAAAAUAAUAUAUUUUCAUAUAAAAUAAACACACCUCUAGUUAGUAUUGAAAAAUAAUUUAAUUCUAAUAAAUCUAAGUUGAUAUAAUCUUGUUUUUUUAAUUAAUUUCAAUCAAUGUUUUAACAUUGAUAUUUUUAUUUUAUCUAUCACUACCACUACUGUUAUUGAUAUAUUAGCUAAGAUGUCUUUGCUUGUUUUUUAUUACUGUAUCAAUUAAUUUUUUAAAACAAAAAAUCAUUUUCACUUAUAUAUAUAUAUAUACACAACCCGACAUUUCAUGUUAGCUACUUGUCUCGGUUCAGUCGUAUACUUGUAAUAAAUUAAAUGUCUCAUAUAAUAUGGCAACGACGUGUGACGAUGUAAAGUGACGGGAUUAGCCUUUUAACAUUCAAGCAUACCAUGUGCCAGCGAGCCAGUGACCCUGCCAUGGCAUCCGAUGGUUAAAAUCUUGUAUGACAAUAACGGCACAAGGGGCUCGGAUACUUGGAAGGGAUGAAAAACAAAAGAAAUAACAACGACAAUGCAAGUAAAAUAUUAAAUUGAAUGCUCAAUGUUGCUAACCAACAGAUAAAUUGUGUAAUUAGCACAGGAAAAAAAAGAGUAACUAACAUAGAAUAAAAAAUUUCCGUUUAUUUACGCGGCUAUUUUUCAAACAAACCGUGUAAAUAAUACGUUUGGUAACAAUAAAACGCAAAUUACUGUAUAAAUGAGGCUUGUUAAAACCGCUGGUUCGUGAGAAGCAGUUCUCAACUACUUCUCACACGAGCGCGUCUAGUGACCAAUUCACCUGGGUACUAUUCACUCUUGAAGUGAACAGUGCCCCAGUGAAUUAAUUCACCUGGGCACUGAACAAUGUUGAUUCACUUGGCGCUGUUAACGUAAAUAGUGUUUCAACUGUUGAUUGGACCGCGUCUGACCCAGUAAAGUUUUUUAAAAAAAUUAUGUUUUACUCGAAAAAAUAGUAUUUAAUAUUAUUUAAUAACACUACAUAAAUUAGAAGGAUAUCGCAUGAUGAUGUAGCAUUUGCGGAAUUUGAUCGCAAUUUCAAUUAUGUUCUUGCCGGGUCCGACCCAUUUAAAAAAAAUUCAGUUUUUAUUUUUAUUUUUAAUUGUGUUUUAUUCGAAAAAUUAAAAGUAAAUCGCUUGAUGACGUAACAAAAAAUUCAAUUUUUUUUUACGCGCUUAAGAAACCAUGGAAAAUAUAGUUCUUGUUAGAUAGAUUUUGUACAUGAUGAAAUUGCACAUAGUUUAAUGGAAUAAUAAAAAAUAUUUGAUAUCAAUAUUAUUUAUUUCAUGGUGUAAUAACAGCAGUUAAAUUUACAAUAUUUAAAUUAAAAACCAUCAAUAUUAUUAUAUAUAUAUUUUAAUUAUUUUAUAACCUCAAUUUAAAAAUCAUUCUUUUAACAAAAUACAAACACAUUAAACUACUUUUUGUAUUAAAUUACUUUUUAUUUAAUCUUAAUUUAAACUAUAAUUUUAACAAAACAUAUAUUUUUCUAAACCAAUUCCAAUUAAAAAUAUUUAAUAAUUUUUUUCAAAUCACAACAGUUAUAUCAAAACAAACACAUUUACUGUGCUAAUUAAAAAAAAGAAAAACCUUGACCAACGGGGCAGAUAUUAAGAAGCCUUGCUCGCUUGCAUAAUGACAACCCACAAACCUGUUGAACCACUAAUUGCAUAUUUGAUAUUCUGAUUCCUGCUAUCCUAACCGUUUCCUUUUCUUGGUCACGUAAAUUUCCCUCCAUCAUUAUUUUUUUCCAUGUUCAAAAAAAGAAAGAAAGAACAUGGCGAUUAAAGAAAUAAGGAUGGAUUUGAGUAACAGUUUUGCUUCGCAUCCACGCCCAAAAAAGAAAUCACUUUAACCAUAACCUCUCGUUCCCUCGAUCACAUAAAUACUAUCCAUUGCUAUUUGAAAUGGGAGGUGGAGGAGAGUUUGAUGAAAGAAAAUGAUGGAUUAGGGUGAAUAAUGGGGACCCCACAUUCUGAUCAAUCAUCUUCUUCAAUAAAUUCUCUCCCUCUGCACCUUUUUCUCAUCUUUUUAUUUUCUACUAGCGUUUCUUGUGUCUUUGGUUUUUAGAUUUUAAACAGGUCUGGGUAGCUUGUUGGGUGCACCUAAUUGUGGUUCUAUCUCAACUAACCAGAUCUGUAUCUCAUAACUUCUUGUUGUUUUUAAAGCUUAAAGCUCGUUUCUUUCGUGUUUCUACUCACCGGAUUUCAGAUCUUUAGAGAGAUAUGGGUCUCUGUAUCUAGCCUUUCUUAUCCUGCUCUGGUAAUAGUUUUUUUUUUUUUUUCAAGUUUAUAUUCUUAUUGGGAUCUCCAUGUGUCAGAGGCCCGUAUCAGAUCUGAAUACCCCACCACCUUCAUUAGUUCUCCUCUUAGGUUCAUCUAAUACAACCCCCAUUUCCUCUUUUUUUGAUUGACAGCUGUUUAAGCUGUCUGUACUAACUAGCAUAUUGUGGUGCACUGGUGUUCGUAAAGGAGAUAAGAGUUGAGGAUUCCACAGUUUCAUUUUGGAUUCUUGAAUUGGUUUAUGCGACAAUUGACAUCUCACACAAGUGAAAAAGUCUGUUCUUUGGGGUGUUUAUAGAUACAAGAAAGCUUUCAUUUUUUAUCUAAUUUAGACUUUUAUGAAGGAGGAGGCCCACUGGUGGGUUUGGUGGGCUUUCUCUAUACCAAUAAAACCCCAUUUUAUGAAAGAAAAGAUUAUUCCUUUUUAGAAGAUCCUACUUUGUUAAUAUCAAUCUUGUUUUGUUUUUUUAAUGCGAGUGUUGUUGUUGGAGGAGGAGGAAGGAGAAGAGAAGACACAAAUGGGUUUCCUUUAAUUUCCCCUCUCUCUAUUUUAUUUACCAUUGCUUUUUUCCCAUUAUUGGUUCUUCUAUUGAUCUUCCACUACUUUAUCUAACAAUUUAUGCCAAACUUGAGUUUGACCCGCAAUACAAUACCUUUUAUCUCUAAUGCUACUUUACUUCUUCAUCACUUGUUUCUCCUUCAUCCUAUUUUUAAAGCCCCUCCCUCUCAAGCCUUUGCUUCCAUGGGCAAGUGAAAUAAGAUUGCUGUCAGUCUGGUUCUUGAAGGACUUGUUUCUCUUCUCUUAUUUAGGUUCAUUGAGGAAUACCCUUUUGGAAGUUUUUUAUAUCAAUAUAAUUCCUUUAAAAACAUCAAUUAAGAAGAUGAGUCUAAGUUCAAGUGCAAGAGCAGAAAAAAGCGCUCUUGAUGAUGAGACUGGAGGGAUGUCUGUUUUGGACUUGCCUGAAUUGGCCUUGGAAUGUGUUCUUGAGAGGUUACCUCCUGCUGGGCUCUGCAGCAUGGCAGGGGUCUGUACUUCUUUGAGGGAAAGGUGUGUGAGUGAUCAUUUAUGGGAAAAGCAUAUGAAGCAUAAAUGGGGCAGGGUUAUUGGCCCUGCUGCUUAUAGGGAGUGGCAAUGGCAUUUAGCUUCGAGAAAGGAUCUCGGGAGUUGCAAACAAGGCAAGCCAAAAGGGUUGAUGAGGCUUCUGUCUAUUUUUUGGCCUUCUUCAUGGAGUACACCCAAGGUCGAUCCCGUUAACAAUAGCAGGCAGAGGAGUUCUUUGCCUGUUCAUUCAAUCAUGUCCUGGUACCUUGCUCUUGAGACUGGCAAGUUCUGGUUCCCUGCUCAAGUCUUUAACCGUGAGGUAUUGAUGAUGACCGUAUUCUUUUUCGUUUCCAUUAAUUAAUUAGCUUUAAUUUUACUUAAAAACUGAAUAAUUCUUUUUUCCUCAAGGCUACAAAAUCUAUAAUUGUGCUCUUAACUCAGUAGCCUCCAGAGGAUUGAUGUGUUGGGCUUUAUGAAUUUUCAUCCCUGGUAGUAAAAGUUCUUGUGUUGUAUUCCAGAACGGGCACGUUGGAUUCAUGUUAUCAUGCUAUGACGCUGAACUUAACUAUGAUCCCCGGACGGAUACAUUUCAAGCGAGGUGAUCGAAAUAAUUUUCUUCUUGGCCAUGAUUCUCAAUAGAUUUUUUACUUAUGGACAUCAUAGCUACUAUCCAUAGGGCGUUGUAGAUUCUUAAAUUAGCUUUUUCUGUAAAAGAUGUUGAUGUAAAAAUAAUGAAUGGCAAAAGGAAUACUGAUAGGGUAAGUGUAUCUAGUGGAUUGAAUUUUAUAUGUUUUGUCUAUUUCAGGUACCCACCACAUGGAAGGAGAGCAAUUUCCAUAGAGAGCGGUGUGCCAUGGGAAAGGCUUAGAGCGCCAUCUGUUGAUACCUCUCCACAUGAUCUACAUAUCUCUGAUUGCUUGCAUGAUUUACUCCCUGGCGAUCACAUUGAGAUUCAGUGGAGAAGAAACAAAGAAUUUCCUUAUGGUUUGUUCUCCAUACCAGUAACAUGCUACUAAUCAGAAUUUCUCUAUGUUUUAUCAAAGUUACAUAUUUGAAUAUUAGAGUAUUAAAAGAAGAAUUAUUCAGCUUUAAUCGGCUCAUUAUUGACUACAAAGAAGAGCUGGAGACAAGUAAUUUUAUAUUGGUGAUCUCUAAAAUCUAGGGGAACUUUUUAUCAUACAAAAUACUCUUCUUGUC
rnacentral:lncRNA from 1 species